CGCCAGUCUGCAGUGCUCUGCCUGCCUCCCCCUCGCCAUACGCUGGCCAUGCGGUCUCUAGCGCGCUUCGCGCCUCACCCUCGCCGUACGUCGGUCGUGCCGGUCUCUAGCGCAUUGCCCGCGCUCCCACUCGCCUCCGGUCUCCCUGCUCGUCGUAGGCCCAUAUCGCAAUGGUCCACCAUGCCGCUCCACUCCACUAUGGCACGCUGACUGCCUCCACGGUGCCAUGCUCCCGUCGUGACGGCCUCCAUCGUGCUGGUUGCCAGUUGCCUGCCCCGGCGUCCUCGCCCACCGAAGCUCCCAAUGCCUGCAGAUCUGGCGGCAAUGGCGCUCUCCGCGCGCAGACUCUCUUCUCUCCCCCCUUGUUGCAUCUGUAUCUUUUAGUUGUUUCAGAAGCUUCAGAGGUAUGUUGCAGUAGAAUCAUAUAGAUGUUGCACAAGUAGAUCUGGGGACGUUCCACUUUUGUUCAUAUGUCGCAACUGUUUUCAGAGGAUUGUUGCAAGCACUUUAUUCGAAUUGUUUCAUCUGUUUCUAGACAAUGUUGCAAUCAUUCUUUUGAUCUGGAUGUUUCAUAUGGUUUACUCGAUUGUUGUAAUAGUACUUCCUAAAUUGUUUCAGUUGCUUUCGGUCUUACAUUGCAGCACUUAUUUCCAUGUUGCAAGUGUUUUUCAUUCGAACGUUGUUUCAUACGGUUCACUCAUUUGUUGCAAUAAUAUAUUCUAAAUUGUUUCAGUUGUUAUAGUAGUUGUCCCAUGAUGUUGCAAGUGUUCUUUUUUUUUUAUUUUUUAUGUUGUUGGGCUGUUGAGGGGCGAGCCACGCAGACGGGGGUGCGUGGUUCGCUAGGGCCCAGCGGGCGGAAGUGCUGGGGGCGGCAGAUCCAGGUGCUAUGGCCAUGGAGGCGCUGGACAUGCAACAUGCUUAUCGCGGGCAUGGGCAGACAUGGCGGGCUGCGGGGCUAUCUGGGGGUGUGCGGACUGGGCUGGGGGCAUGCGGAUUGGCAAAGGACGUGUGGAACUGGGAAGGGGCGGGGCGCUGAGGAUGUGCGGACUGGGAAGUGAAAGAGGCGGUCGAACGCUAAGAGGCGUCCGGACGCUAGCACCCGGAUCGGACGUCCGGGCGCUAGCAGUUCCGUAUUUUAUAUGGAACAUCCUUAAAUGAACUUGCAAACAAAAAUCACGACAAAUAGUAAUGAAUCGCUAUCAUUUUAAUUGCGAUUUUUGCACAAAUCUCCCUCGAAAAGUGUAAAAGUUAGCGAAAUAGUCCUUCCGCGCACUCUUCCCCAUGGCCGAUGCUCCCUUCUCGUCCGGCGACGGCGACGGCAGCUCCCGUCGGCCGUCGCGGCGAGUGGGCUAGCAUUCCUCCUCCUGCUCUCCCCCCUUCCCAGGCGGGUUCCUCACCGCUGCGCUCCCGCUCCCACUAUUCUCUCACCAUGGAUAUGGCCGGCUAACCGCCACGGAGCUACCACGUCAGAGAAGGGGAGGACAGGAUCGACAAGGAGGAAGAAAGGAGUCGUGCGGGUUGCUGAGGAUCACGAGGAGGAGGGAUAUGGGGACUAGAUCGGAGUGCGAGUUCAUGGACCAUUGGUUUCCCCAGGUGAUGCUAUGUUUGACUGCUUUGGACUACUUUAUUUGUCCCCACCUCAAUUCUCGAACCAUGAUUUUUCUAUAUGUAUACUUGAUCUGUGUUCAUCAGCAAACAUAAGUAAUUGUUGAAUCUUGUAUCAUCGGAUCAUGCUAGUAUAAGUUUUCUUUUGCUUCCUCGACACUAGAGUAGCACAGAUUUUGAGCCUCAAAAAAGGAUGUAGCUGAUCAUGCAUUUCAUGAACCGGGACGAACUACACACACUCGUCCCUUCAAAACUUUACACAAAAUCCUAGGCUUCAGUUACAUGGCUUGAAAAGUUUUCUGAAGAUGCAAUGGAGUUUGGUGCCUUAAGUUCUCUUUCCAGAUUUGACAGAAAAUUGGACACAAAUAAAUAUUGCAGAAGGCGACUCAAAUACCAAAUCAACAAAUUUCAGUAGUCAAUUUAUCAUAAACUUUCGGAUCAGGUUACAGAUCAAACUUCUGCAGUAGGCACAUUGAUAAUAAUAGAACGCUUUACAACUCAGCAUAAUUUAUUUCAUAAUUUGGACUUAACUGAACUCAACAUAUGAUGCCUAGCUCGGUGCUCAUCUCCUAUUCAACCCAGCACAUCUCAGAAGAUGAUCCUCCUACCUUGAAGCUUGAAGGAGUCGUCACCCGAUCCUAGCAGCAAGGGUAGUAGGCGACGCAGCGCCUGCGCCGAGGAGGAGUGCACAGCAUCAGCAGCAGCAAGGCGAGGACGAUGGUGACAAGCAGCCCCAGAAGGUUGAACGCCGGCUCAUCAUCUUCCUGGCUGCAGCAUAGCUUGCCCAUGUUAGCUGUUACAAAGGGCGGAGCGAUGAGCUUUUGGUAGGAUGGGGAUGAAGGAGGCGAGGGGAGCAAUUAAAGGCUUCUUGGCUGUGGAAUUUCUUUAUGCCGACGACUCUGGAUGGAAGGUCUUUCUAUUCUAUGGUAUAUGGUAUGUCUGAUAUGAAUCUUAUUAGCUUUUGGGCUUUGUUUUGUGGCUGUGUGGGGCUAGUUGUUGAGACAUCACUAUCUGCCUUUCCAUAUUAUAGUUUAUUUUUCUUCUUUGUCCUUUUGGUUGAAGAUGAGACAACUCAUUCAACCAAUCAAUUACACACCAACUAGUACCACUACCACCCAAUCAGGAUAAAUUUUGUUACAGGCACAUCAGUAGGAAUGUUAUAUGAUUUAACUGGCAUCAGCUUCCUGCUUUUCCUUUCAGUAUAUCCUGGUCAAAUUCAUAUUCUUCUGAUCUGUACUGUCAUUAUCAAGUGUUAAUUUGAUUAUAUUGACACCGUAAUCCACAUUGGUAGCAUGUGCUGAUACUGGUGGAAGGCCAUGUUGUCUUCAACAAUUUGCUGUUUUUUUUUUCCAGUGCUGCUAUGCGUCGUGUAUGGGUUUUUCCUCUCAAAUUUUGCUUCAUUCACAGGACACUGUCAGAUCUAUCGAUAGCAUAUCUAUUGUGGGCCAUCAACAUCAACUUGAAUUCUGGUAAGCACAUCAUUUGUACUUUAAUUAAAAGACACCUGUCCAGUUGUUUUCACUGUACAUAUCAUAUAGAAUACUAACUUUAAUUAAGUACCCUUCCUCAUGUGGAUAAUGAUUUUCAAAAAUGUCUACCCAACUCUUGAUGCAUCAUUUUGCUAGUUGCAUUUGAAUUUAAAAUUUUUGAAUAAACACAAGACAACCUGUCUAGAAAAGGACAUGCUGACUUAGUUUGUUGUUCUAUAUGUCCUUGAUUUUGAAUAAUGCAACAAACUCAUCAACAACUACCUGCCAACUACAUUUAAACCACAUGGUCAGUAUAAAUUUUGCCUAAAAUGGUAUUUUUAGACAAAUACCUUAAUGCUGUAUUGCACAGAAUGACAGUCACGCUAUCAAUUCUGUAAGCAUGCAGCAGUAAGAAGCAUGCACAACUCCUUGAACACACAUGUAUGCACAACUCCUUUGACUAAAAGGAACAGAGCAUGUUGAACAUUCAAUGACGCAUACAUGUUAUCUGGCACGGUACAUCAUUUUCAGUUCAAAAAGAAAGAUCACUUAGAGCGGCAGCCUUUUCAUCAUCGUUCUCCUUCUCUGGGCUCAAAAAGACGAUGCACUUAGAGCACCAUCCUUUUCAUUAUCGCUUUUCUUCUCUGGGAUACCCAAGUCCAAUGUCUUUUCCUCGGUGGUUCUGACCUCCUUCAAAUCAAUAGGUUCUUUCCCAUCUGAUUCCCCUGCACAUGGGAUGAAUGGGUUUUACGCCAGUACUUAGUUUGGCACAUGAUGGUACUAUAGAGCAGAAUUAUAUAAUUGCUUGCAUGUAGGGAGUGCUGUUGUUAGCAACAAGUUGAUUAUAAAUUGAGGAUAGCAGCAGAAGACUUUUUACUUGCACUAUGAGUCUAUGAUCAAUUAUCAUGAGUUCAUGACAAAAGAAGAAAUGUGUGGUUAACAUAUAGAAUGACACAGUUAACAAUAAGAAAAUUCAACUUACCCUCGUCUCUCAAAGGUGUAAUGGAUUUCCCAUCCUCUUGCUCGUUGGAGACACUCUCCUCUUCCUCAACCUUGUUCUCCCCUACUGUGUCCACCUUCUCCUCCUCCACUUUCAAUUCCUCAACAACUUUUGUUAGCACCUGCUCAACAGCAGUAGGAUCUGGCAGGUCUGCCUCAUUGUUUACCUCAUUAUCUUCAGAAGGUUCAGACUGCCCUGCUGCCUCCUCUUCAGCUUCUGUUGCACCAUCAGCUUCGGUCAUGCCCUCCUCAUCCUCAAAAACAGUAGGCUCUGCCAGCUCUGCCUCAUUUUCCACCUCAUUGUCAUCAGAAGGCUCAGGUUUCUCUUCUACCUCCUGUUUCUCCUCCUCCUCUUCCUCCUCCUCCUCCUCCUCCUCUUGGGCAGCCGGUAAGCUGGCAAUUUCAUUGUCCUUGGUCAUCGGGGAAGCUGCAGAGGCAACACCAUCAUCGUCCUUGGUUGCAGGGGUAGCCACAAAGUUAAUACUGUGACCAUCCUUGGUCACAGGGGCUACUGGUUUUGCGAAGGUGACACUGCCAUCUUCCUCAGUCACCAUGGCAACUUGGUCCUUGGUUGCUGGGGCAGCGGCAGAGGUAACACUCUCAUCAUCCUUGGUCACAGGGGAAACUGGUACUGCAAAUGUGACACUUCCAUCCUCCUCGGUCACCAUGGCAACCAUGUUGCUGGUCGUGGGGGCAGUUCCGAAGGUAACACUUUCAUCGUCCUUGGCGUCGGCGUCAUCUGGUACUGCAAAGGUGACGCUGCCGUCCUCCUCUGUCACCAUGGCAACCGGGAACGUUACACUCUCAGCAACGUUGCCGUUCUUGGUCGACGUAGCCUCAUCGUUCUCCUCGAUCACCAUGUCUUUAUUGUCACCCCCAUUUUCCUUCUCAAUGGCUGCCUUAGUCGAUAUUUUGAGCACAUCAUCCUUCUUGAUAUCUUCUUUCUUCUCUGUAAUGACAUUCACAUCCUCAGUUGAUGACAUGCCAGCCUUCUGACCAGCGACCCCUGCUUUGUCCUUGACGGCCUCAUCUUUCUUCUCCUUGGCAGCCUUAUCGGCAAAUGCUUCUUUGCCCUUUUCAACGGUGACCGCUUCUCUAGCAUCCGUGACGACUGCUUCAUCCUUCUUGAUCUCGACCUGUUUCUCCUCCCCGUUGGCAUUCGCCGUCGAGAUUGUGUUGCCCUCCUUUGCAGUGACGGCUUCUUUAUUGUCCUUCACGACCUGUUCGGCCUUGUUGUUGAUUGCUUCCUCUUUCUUCUCCCCAAUGGCUUUCUCUUUCAAUCUGGCUGCCUUGUCCUUUGUCUCAGCGAUCGCCUCGCCAUUGGCCUUCGCAGCGGCGGUGGAGGCAUUGUCGCAUGGCUGAAGCACACGGGACGAUGGCUGGGUGGCGUCGAUGACGCUGGAUUUCCUCUUGAAUCGGUUGCAUCUGCUGCUGCCGGAGUUGCCGGUGGCCACCGCUUCUUUGGAGCCACCGCAGCCCAUGGUGGCUCAAAGGAGAGGAGAGAGAGCGUCCGAGAUGCAAAAUGCAACGAGAGGACGAGAAACCAAUAUGAGGUUCUGAGAUUUGAGGCAAGGAGGAGUCGCAGGAGAUUAAUUAGGGUCUUAUAUGCCACGUGUAUGCAUGAAUGGACAAGUCUCGUGGGGAAAACGCUUGCAUGCAUGAUGUGACAAAUUUAGGGAAACCAUAACCAAACAAAAGUUUUUUGUUGAAGGGGUUGCGGCAAGUGUGUUUGUUGUCUAAUUGCAGCGCAUCAUUGCUGUAAAAUUUGCUCCGUUUAGAGAUUUUUUUUUAAAAAAAAAAACAAACAAACUUUGUGCCUAACUGGCUGUCUUAGAUCAUUGGGCUCGGCCGACCGGUUGGACGGUUGGUUGCUGUCCUUGCUGAUCCAAGAAGGAAGGGAACUAUUCAGGUGCUUCAUUACCCCCCUAUGCUGACUUGGAUACAAAAUUGCAAAUGUUGAUUGGGUGUAACAAACAAUGCAACAACACCAUGUUUUUGUAGAUCACAAUACCAUGCUGCGACGAACUGAGGUGCAAUUAGUCAUGUACUGAACCAAAGCUUAAGAGCGCAGAACUCUUCCUUAGAAUGGAACAGUAAUGAAAGAACAGUGGUUGAGGCAGAGACCAGAGGAUGAGAUGAGAUGGAGCUGCCAUUGAACGGCAGGUGCAUGCGCAGCUGCCAGUCCUGAAUCUUGAUCGCCGGUCUAUAAAAUCCUCGUCCACCUUGAGCUAGCACUGCACCACAUCAGUCGAUACACUCAGCUGCAUUUGCAGCAUUGCUUUGGUUCACUCUCUGCAAAUAUUUUGUGGCCUGGGCCGAGUUUUUGUGCAGCUGUGACUGUGUGGCUAGGCAGCUUCCUGCCAUCGUGGGCGAUCGAGAUGGGUCCCCAUGGACCGGGAGGCCCAGGGUGGGGCCCACCUGGAGGAGGCCCUGCAGACUGGGGGCCGCCACCCGGUGGACCUGGUGGACCUGGUUUCUGGGGACCUGGCUUUGGCGGCUUCAUGGGAUCUUGGUGAGCUGAACACUAACUACUGUACCUAAUAGCAUUCCAAUCUUUGGAACUGUUGAAUCAGAUGCUGCUCAAUGCUUUAGUGUAUAUAAGAUUCUCAGCAACUCUCGUUUUGUUUUUUUUUAAAAAAAAUUGGCUCGUGUUCGCCGGAAAAUGUUUCCACUAUGAUCAUUUGAUGGGCUAUGGUUCUACUGCUGUGCAGCUUCUACGUUCUCUGCUGCUGCUGCUUGCUGCAGGACUGCUGCCCGCCGUUCCUCGGACGCCCUGGCCCCGGCGGCCCGCCGCCCUUCUGAAUUCUGAUGCCGUUUCCUGAUCAGAUCCCGAGGUGAAAUAAAGGUAUUUUGCAGGUCCCCUGUUGAGCAAGUGCUGUCCCCUGUUGGUCCUCUCCAGAGCCCAUCAUGUUCAAUGGAUUUCUUUUUCUUUUUUUGGCGAACAGAAUGGAUUUCUGUUUGCAGAUCGCUGUGCCUGUGCGUGCCUAUCCUUUGUAUGCUCCCUACUUUUCGUUGCAUGAACACUGAUGAAAAUCCAAUCAGACUGGCUGUUACCUUGACACGAACUAAACGAUCGUGAAUUCGUGAUUUAGAUUUUCGAGACACUGUUUUGUGCCAUUAUAGGACGGGAUAUUAGACUCUAGUUAUUAAUUAACUACAUAAAACCAAUAACUUGAACGAAACCAGGUGUAAAUAGAUCAAUUCUGAUUCAGGACAAGCGAAUCCAGCAAACUGUAAAAGAAAAGCUCAGGCAGAUGGAAGAAUCCCAUGUUAAUCUACAAGGCAGCAGGCAUCUUUUGGGUGGGUUCUAUACAACGCGAAAAAAAAGAAACUGUUCUAUACACAGGCAACUGGUAGUUUGGCAUUGCUGUUAUGUGCAAAACCAUAUGAAGUUCUGAACUAAUAAUGCUAAUAAUAAAUUCACCUCUCCAACAUUUUGGAGCUCAACUGCCAUUCAAUUCUCUUGCCGCAUAAGAAGCAUCCCAGCUGCUGAACUUUUUUUAGAGUUCGGAACUCAUAUUCGGAGCAGGUAACCGAGUGAGGUACCAAGAAGCGCCACAUACACCACAAAGAGCAAGGGGAAACCCACUUGACUCCUUGGGGUUCCCUUCUUUCUUAGGAAUACCUGGACAAACCAUGCAUCAUAUUAGAAAUAAUAUAAGCAAACAAUGACCGAUUUGUAAUAACAAAAUCCUAAAUCAAAGCAAAUUCAAUGAUGGUGAAAGAGCAGUUUCGACAGCGAGAAGUUUGCAACAUUCGGUCAACAUGGACAAGAUAUCAGGUGACUAUCAGUCGACCCUCCAGAUCUAAACACAUAAAUUGGGAAAUGAGUGCAUCAAUAAAUUUUGGUUAUCAGAUUCUAUCAGGGGACCCUUUUUUUGUUUGGAUAGAUAUAUGGGGACCAUUUAGUAAAUGAAAUUCCAGAUGGAUGGCUCCUCCAGCAUCUGGUACAAAUGCCUCCAGCAGAAACAUGGCACAGAGAAUCUACCAGAACCAGUUAAUGGCAUUAUGCACUGCAGUGCGGUUCUGACUAGAAAAUGCUGAGACUAUAAAUGUGUUAGCUUGCACCUACAAAUUUCAAGCCAAACAGUAACAGGAUGGGAAUUGGGAAGGGGGUUGUGGCUAGAAGGCGUUUAGCUUUUUCAUGCUUCUUAUUUAGGCCUUGUUUAGUUUACAAAAUUUUUCAAGAUUCCCCGUCACAUCAAAUCUUGCGGCACAUGCAUAAGCAUUAAAUAUAGACGAAAACAAAAACUAAUUACACAGUUUACCUGUAAAUCGCGAGACAAAUCUUUUGAUCCUAGUUAGUCUAUGAUUGGAUAAUAUUUGUCACAAACAAACGAAAGUGCUACAGUAGCGAAAUCCAAAAUUUUUCUCAAACUAAACCAGGCCUUAUCAGCCAAGCUAAAAACCCUAUGCUUGAAUACUCUUUCUUUUAAGCAACAGUAUAUAUAGUUGUUCUACAUUUUCCAGAUGGUAAUAUAAAUAUCGAUGAAGUUCAAGACAAACCAUUUCUUGCUGUAGCUUAUCCCGCUCCUGGGUGGUACUUCUGCUCUCUUCUCUUAGCCUUAUUAUCAUCUUUUCAGCCUACAAAACAGAAACAUAUUAGAGUAUCUUCACCAUUUAAUGAAAAUCUAAUCCUCAUACUUGUUUAAGAAAUGGAAAGUAUCCCAUGGUGUUCAGCUUACCUCUUCCAAUUUUAAUUCAAGAUUGUUGAGCUUUGAUUUCAUAUUCUGAACAUCUUCUGUUACCUGGUACAUAUGUAAAAGGAGAAAGUGAACACAUUGCUGUACGAAAAGAAAAACAACAAAACAUCCCCAAUUCCCCAUGCAAGUUGAGAGUUUUAUGUAUAUAUGUUGACUUGAAGGCUGUGAUUCUGUUAAAGAAAUAAAUCAAACUGUAGAGCCAAGAUGAGGGCCACAAUUCAAAGUUCAAUCCAGUUUUCUAAGUAACUGUUCACCAUUGUAUUUCAUAACUGUUCUUUUUUUAAUAAAGAUUCAGUAGAAAACAGGUGGUUUUUUUUGCCAAAAUCUAACCAGUAUUAAGGCUUGGUUCUGCUUGGGGUGUAUGUGACUCUGUUGGGCUAGAAGCUGGGUUGUGACUAGUGUAUAUCAAAAACAUGUUUAACAGCUCUACUGACCAUUCGCUUAUAUUAAGCUAAACUGAGGAAAAUGGGCAUAUGGUGUACUAGAUAAUGGAAGCUUACAUGAGAUAAUUGAUGGUUUUGCACAUUGAAAAGUCCUCGGUCACUUAGCAUAACAGCUUCUUUAGGAGUAGUUUCCUCCAGUGGAGGAGAUUCCUUAAAAACUGCAACGCUUUGUUUCAAAGGAGGAGAUUCCUUAAAAACUGGAACGCUUUGUUUUGAAGGAGGGGAUUCAAUGGAAAUAGCAGGGGCAUGUUCAAUUGUAACAGUAGAGGCAUGUUCAACUGUAAUAGCAGAGGGGUCUUUUUGAGCGGAAGGAGAUUCUGCCAAUACAGCUGGUGCUUCAUUCAGUGGCACAGGAAUUUCUCUCAGGCCUGGAGUCUCUUCGACAGGUGAAGGUAUUCCAGUCACAAUUGCUGGAGCUUGUGCCAGAGGGGCAGGAACUUCUAUUGAAACAUCUGGCACUUGAUUCUCUAUAUUUGGCAUCUCCUUCUGUACAGGAAUUCCAACAGCUGGCUCGGUGUCAUGAAUUCCAUUAGUCGGUUGCUCUUCAAGGGAUUGGUAUGCACUAACAAGAACAACUCUUAAUUUGCUUUCCUCGAUGUAUCUGCCAGUUUCUUUGGAGAACUGAUAAGAAAGAAUUAGUGAGCAUCACAGUUACAACAAACGACAUGAAAAGAACACUAUGCAACUAUAGGUUAUAGCUAGGUGCUUACAAAAGCAGGAACCAGUUCCUCGUCAGAUGUACCAUAAGGAACAACUGUGGUCUGUACCAAAAACUUGUCUUUUAAUUGCAUGUCUGGUGGAGCAGCUCGGAGUGCUUGCAUGGUAACUACAUAUAUAAGUAAAAAGCAAGCACAAAUAGAAUAAGAGGAAAGAAUAAUGUAGCCAACAUAAGAGAAAACUGACAAGGUAUACAAAAAGACAGAAAAGUUUAAUAACUACUAUUGCCCUUGUACCAAUAGCAAGCAAAGGUGUUAUUUAAUGGGCAGUGAAAGUAAAGAAGGAAUCCACUUGUAAUGCACAUCAAACAAGAGUCAGAAUUACAACCUCCGGUCUGAAACUUAUCACUUUAGCUUCAUGCACACUGAUACCGAACCAGAACUCCACGAGGAUGUUAAGAACUACUGAAUUGCCUAUUUUUUUUUCCUUGACAAUAUUAUUGUGCUUCGACCUCUCAAACGCCAAUACCAGUAACCACAUAGUGAAAUUUGGUGGAAAAUGUUGCCUUGAAAACUCAAACUGACUCACUAAAAUGACAUCGGACAAGAUGGCUAUGACAUAUGUCUCUUUUAACUUCUAACCCCCAAGUAAGCACAAUUCUUAGAAGUAGGUUCAGAUGAUAUCAGAGUACUACCAACAUGGUUCUUCUUCAAUAAACACAACCAUUAUCAAUGACAGUGAGCGUAGAUGCAUACCUAUGAAUUCACAUGUUUUCCUCGGAAGGAUAACCCCGGUAUUUGGUCGAACACAGUAUCUUUUAGGAGAUGUUGUUUUAACCUAGCCAAUUUGAGGAAAAGGGAAAACAAGAUCAGAAUUUGUUCAAAACAAGAACAGAACAGAAUAGCCAAGGCACAAGCAACAAAACAUCUAGUUCUAGCUAUAGCAUCAUCAGAAACCAAUUACUUAAUUGGAUAAUAGCUUGUACUUAUCUACUCAACAUUAUAUCAAGAAAUGGAUAAUUGGAUAUUCAAUAUUUCAAUGUCUAGACAUCACAUAUCAGCCAUUAGCGUGAUUGGAGAAAGACUUGAGUAGAAAAUCUGAAAAUAGGACUUGUUUAAGAUGCUAAGUCAAAGUUGUUGACAAACCUUGAAAGCAACAUAUUCGUUAGACUUGUUGAUUAGGUGGACAACACAUGAACUUUGUUUCUUCACCUCAACUGAAAACAACACAGAACAGGAAAAAGGGGAGGUCAGAUGUACAUUUAUUUAAAAAUUAAACAGAUAGAGGCCAGGGUUUGAAAUGAAAUGACAAACUAGUGAAAAAAUGUAUGCAUGUUAAAGCAUUUUUUUAGAUAGAGGAUAUAAAAUCCAGCCAAUGCAUUUUAAAGCAUGCUGAGAAGUCCAGAACAAAGAUGUAGCAAUGCAUAAAUGUUAAAAAAAAAAUAAAGGAUGCUGAGUUCAGUCCAAUAACCAAGCUGACCAGCCGAACGAUUUAGAGGUUUCAACAUGGUAGAUUAGGUAUCUGUGAGAGGCAGUUAGAUUUUUCCUGUGGAAAUCACAAAGUCCAUUUGAUGAUGCACGUAUUUGACAAAUUUGUUGCCAGCAUUCACACAGAAUGACAGAAACCAGAGCAAAAAAAAGUGAUGGAAAAAACUCCAGUGCACUUUCUUAUAGAAAGAUCAGUAACAUAACAUUUCACAUUUUCACUACUUCACUACAGGGUCCCCCAACUAUUACUUUUAGCAUACUCAUUGUGUUUUUUAUUUUCUUCCCAAGAACACUCAUAGUACCAUUUUUUCACUUAAUAGUGUAACCCAACCUUUUUGAGACAAAAUCAGUUACAACCAUGAUUAUACUCAGUCCAGGUCCGGCCCAAGCGCACCACAAAUAUGCAGUUUAUAGAUGCAAAAUAAUUUAUCAAGUUCAUAAAGCUUAACACCUUUCCCUCUCAUCAAGGUCCUUCUCUCUCAACACAAUUAAUAUCAGGUGUAGUGUGAACCAUUAGUGCACUUUCAUUCAUGUUAACAGGAGCCAACAGCCAAGCAUAUCCUUCCCGCCGUCCCUGCUUCCCUAACACGCUGACACACGCCCCACCACCAGCCACUGGACUUUACAACCACUCGCACCACAAAAUCUACCUGUCUGUGACCAAACGAAGAGAAUGGAAGCAACCAACUAAAGUACUCUACUAGACUGGAAGAAAAGUUACAGGCUCUACAGUCUACACUGCCACACAUUACUGACAAAGUAAAAGGUUGAAAAAGGCUAGCUUAUUGCCUCGAUUGGAUUUGGAUCCUCUAAAACCUACUGAGAGGGAGAUUCUGCGAGGUGGUCCUCUAAAGCUCAUGAAACCGUUACAACUGAGAUUGAGAAAGCAAGGUGGGGGAAAUAAAAAAAAAUGGACGAAACCGUUCGCUUCCCGAAUUCACAAGGGGUUUAGCUUGGCUCCUACUCCAUCGAGUACGUCGCAGGUUCGGGAGCCGAUCCCUCAAACCAAACGCAACAGUAGUAGUUCACGGGUCGGCUACCCUCUGCGCCUAUGAUCAAUUCAUCGCACGCGACAGGAAACCAACAAAUCGGCAAAAGUUAACUCGAAUCAUCAGACAGCGUCACGCAUAAACCUUGGCACGACACACACACACACACACACAGACGAUCCGUAACGGGGGAGAAAAAACGUGAGCUACGCCAACGAAACACGCAAUCGAAGCAGACAAGCACGCCCCGACAAACAAGCGCGGCGCCGGCGCCGGCGUCGGCAGACGAGGCCAGGCGAGCAGAGCGGGGGGGAAGGGGGGCGGGCGGGCGGGGGAACUUACAGGUGAACUGGAGCUCGCGCGGUUGGAUCUCGACGAGGUCCUGGCCCAUCGCCGCCGGCCGCAGGGGUCUCGCCCGCGAGCAGACGCACGGACUGCACAACACACAAGCGCUGCCCACCACCAGUAAUCCGCUGGCCGCUAGCGAGGCCGAGGACGAGCCGGCGGGUGGUGCGCUAUGAAUUAGUAGCCUGUCCCGGUCACGAAGGCUCGGCGUCGCGCGCGAGAGGGACCGCCCCUCUCCCAAUAGCGGUAGCAGCAGCAGGGAGAGGCGUCGGAGUGAAGAGAGGACGGGAGGACGGGAGUCGGGAGGAGGAAUGGCGGUCGCUGUCGUCCCCCGCGCCGAUUUUGACGAAUGGGGGACGGCUGGACGGGGUUUCGGAGAAAGGGAGUAGACUAGCGGAGGGAGAGCCUCGGGGGACGCCGAGCGGGCCAGGCAAGGCGCAUGUGGGGCCGCCUUUUGGCGGUGCGGGGUCCAGCCGGCAGACCCUUUUUGCAGUUUGGUCCCUACGCACGCAGUACACCCCCCCCCACCCACCCACGACGGAAACGGCAGUGGCCCUUGUUCGUGAAUCGACGAUAAGGUAAGGUCGGGGGCACAUGAGUGAAAAAAAGUUGUAGCGAGCGAGCGUCGACGCGAGCCAUGCGAGCGCGGCACCACAAGCGGCGUGCGUGGGUUUCUGAAGCGGAGGCUGCCAGGUGGACCCCGCCGCCAUCAGUGCCGUGUCGGCUGGGUCGAGUCGAGCGGACGGCGGGAGCGGGGAUUCGUGAUCGUCGAGCCUUGUUUAGUUCGCUACGGUAGUAUUUUCGUUUGUUUAUGAUAAAUAUUAUCUAAUCAUAGACUAACUAGUAUCAAAAGAUUCGUCUCGCGAUUUACAGAUAAACUGCGUAAUUAAUUUUUACUUUCGUCUAUAUUUAAUGCUUUAUACAUGUACCGUAAGAUUCUAUGUGACGGGUACUAUACGGUGGUGGGUGGGUCCAGUGGGGCGGGCGGGCGCCACCUGGAGCGCGCGCCGGGUUGGCUGGGACAGUGGGGGGACGCGGGCGGGUCAGCGUCAGCCCGGAUGCUGUGGGCGCGCACCGGCACGUCUGCACCCCAGGUCCUGGGUGGCCGUACGCACACUAUAGACUGUAGUACGUGAGGGGAGGAGAGCGAGGAGACACCGUCACAGUGCCCCACGUGGCUGCAGGGCGCAUAUCUGUCCAUCGCAAAAAAAAAAAGCCAUGCGAACGGGUCCUCAAAACACAAAUUAAACUCCGUGUUACCGUUGCCAUAAACAGGCUUACAUAUGAGAAUUUGAGUGAGGGAUCCAAAAACGACUUUAAGAGAGAGCCAUGAUGAGGAGCUGUUUGAUUGAGCCACUAGGCACUUUUGUCUACAAGGCAGUGGCUUCAAGCCGUUGAUUUUGAUCGUCUGGCGGCCGAGAUCGAUGCAUGAGCAGGAUACCUGGUAGGCCAUCAACCAAAGGACUCCUAGUGCAAGGGUUACAAAUUGCACGCGUGUAGCUGUAGUGUAGGGCAGCGAUGCAGCUCACCUAGCAAGUACUUCAUCUCUUUCAAAUUAUAAGUUGCUUUAAUUUUUUUUAACAUCUAUUUUGCUAUGUAUUUAGAUAUAAUAAAAAAAAUUAAAACGACUUAUAAUUUAGAAUAGAGUAAUUACUCCAUAUAAGAAUGGCACAGUAGGGAAAGCAGGAGAACGGGUUAACAACCACCGCAUCGAGCAAGUCAUAGUAUAUUUGUCCUCUCGUAUAAACAAUAUAUCUUCUCUCUCUAAUUUAAUCUAAUAAUCUAAUGACAUGGGCUCAUAAUUAAAAGUUGCUUAAGUUGUAGUAAAGCAUUCUUUUGCCAAAAGCCAGUAGUAGAUAUUAUUGUUGAUUCGAUCGCCUUUGCAUGUAAACAGCUGUUCAGCAACGUAGGGGGUUAGUAGGUCCUUUCUGUGGAACGCGUAUGUGCCUUUUAUAUGCUUAUUUGACUAUUGUGUUCAUAUAUAUCAUAUUUUUGAUCCAACAAACGUUUCAGACUUUAGGGUAUGUAUAAAAGUGUGUCUAUACAAAAGUGUAGAGCCCCCGCCCUUUUAGUUCAGCUAGUAAAAAAACUAGAAGAAAAACUCAAAUGUGUAACCACUUAAAAAUCUGUUUAGAUCUCAUGGAGCUAACAUUUAGGCCUUGUUUAGAAGUUAUUUUUAAAAUUUUGACAUUGUAGCACUUUCGUUUGUAUUUGACAAACAUUGUCUAAUCAUGGACUAACUAAGCUUAAAAGUUUGUCUCGCGAUUUAUAGUUAAAUUGUACAAUUAGUUAUUUUUUAUUUAUGCUCUCUAUGUAUAAGCCGCAAGAUUCGAUGUGAUGGAGAAUCUUGUAAACUUUUACGUUUUUGAUGGCAUCUAAACAGGCCCCUUAGCUGCUGAAAAAUAGAAGUAAUAAAUCAGUUAAUGUUUUACCUAUCACCCAUUACCCAUAGCAAUUAUACUAGCUAUUACCUGGUACUCAUGUAUUCAAACAGGGGGUUAGUCAUAUAGAGAACUACGGUGUAUGUAUAUAUGCGAUUUGGAAGUUGAUUAAUUCCCUUGCAAGGUACGCGUAUACCGCUCAUGUUUCUUUUUGCGGUGGCUGUGGUUGAGCUUUCAUCGUCAUCGUGUCCAAUCUAACCACAACCGACGCCGCGAGUGGCAUACCGACAAGCUAAGGGACGAGCGAGCGCCGUCCUCCACUGACCUUUGUUGCUUCGCUAAAGUCUAAUGACUACUGUUCCUUGCUCCAUUUCCCGUCCACUGAUGUGUCACGUCGUGGUCGUGCCAUUUUCAUUAAUAUUCAUUCCCAGCAUGCACAGUACGACCAGCUAUUAUUUCUUUUCGAGACGAAGGAUUUUCCUCCAUUUUCAUUGACAAAACAACCAAAAUACUGUUUAUACAGUGAGUUUUUAGAGUAGAUAAAAAACUAGACAGAAGCUUACAAGAAAGACAAAACUACAGACCACGAUAAGUAAAUAAAGCAACUAUGCCUUGCCAACAGAUCACUCUGGAAGCACCAAAAAAAGCCGACAAGGCUAACUAAAGUUUAGACUUAGGAAGCAACAGAAAACAAGCAAUCAUGCGAUUAACGGCCCUAUGUAGAAAAAUUCCUUGCGAUCUCCAAACACCAUUUUGUUCCUACACCAUCUCAAUUACUCUGUUACUCUGGCUUGUCAUCUUGAUCGUUUGACUUAGUAUCCUCCAAUGAGUGGUGCUUCUACGCUUUCACCUCCUUACCCACCAUCUGUAAGGCAAUUUUCAACAUUGUAUUCGCCCCAGCAAUCAACUGUUCCUUGUCAUCAUACAAAAACAAACCUAACCAAUAUUCCAUAAGCGAACAAGCAUAACAGAUAAUAGAAAUUGGACUUCUAACAGACUUGCCCUCAAAACAAGCACUGUUUUUUGUUUUCCAAAUCGUCCAACAAAUAGCUGCAAUGCCUACAGCAUGAAAUUUGUCCCCAAAAAGUAGCCAUUGCUCACACCAUGCUCAACAUUGAUCAAAGUUUCUAGGUAUAUUAGAAGCACCUAAGUAAUGUGCCACAAAUAGCCCAUACAACUUUAGCCAAACUACACUAAAAUAGAAGAUGUGAGACAGAUUCAUUGCAAUCACAAAACAAGCAGGAUGGUUCACCGUUCCAUUUCCUCUUACUCAUAUUAUCUCUGGUGAGUAUUGCAUUAUUUGCCACAAGCCAUAAAAAAAUUUUGAGCUUAUUAGCAAGGAUAUUUUCUUUCCAGAUUUUUUUAUAAUAGGGGCCAGCAUCACUUGCAGUAAGAGAUAUGUAGACUGACUUAACAGAGAAGCAACCAUUCUUACCAAAUUUCCAAAAAAAACCAUAUUCUCUUCAUCUACUAAAGUAAUCCUCUCAACCUUACUAAGUAUAUUGUUCCAAUCUAGUCUCGUAUUAUCUACCAACUAUCUGGUAAAACUAAUAGAACUUUGUUUCAUUUGAGACACAGAAAUAUCAUGUUGCAGGCAAAUUUUAAACAAGUCUGGAAACAGAUACUCAAAGGGUUUAUCAAAUAACCAACUAUCUUUCUAGAACAUAGUCUUCUUACCAUUUCUUAUUUUCAGUUUCCUCCCUUGUAACGACCAGCUAUUAUACUCCUACUAUCUUUUCUGCUGCAGUGUAUUAUUUGGUCCAGGAGAAGGAGAAAAAAAAUGGGUGUCUUUUGUCACUCCACCUCUCUUUUUCUUCACCUUUUGUUUUUAUCAUCAGAUACAGAUCGGAUGGUGUCGUCAAAAUAUUUGUGGCCGUGAUAAUGGUAUGACGGGCUGUGGGUGCGCCACAACGGCAUCAGGACCUUUGCGUGGGCCAGCUGCAGGCCUGCUUUGCAUUUUCCGGCCGUUGGGCCUCUGGAUCUCUACUACGCGCUACCUGGACCAUGCUGCUCACCUGCGUGGCCUGCUCCCUGUCCACUGAACAAAGCGAACAACAUCCUGCUGGCCAUCUCCAGUCGUCCCUCGACGAACUUGGUGGCGCGGUCACCAUUGCCGCUGCUCAUCAGUGCAGGCACGGGCACCAGCAUGACCAACACACCCCAAAAGGCAGGUGAAAAAGCUGACGCCAAGCGACGCCUUGAGCGGGGCCUCGAUCCAGCACCGGUGUCGGCGCAUGCAGGCGUAGCGGUGGCGUUGUGGCUCAGCCUCGGCAAUGCCAAGUUGCCAACCCCCUCCAGGCCAGGCCCAGGAACAGAAUGCUAGUGCCAGCAACAGAGAACUCCACCAAUGCUUCUGUCGAUCACCGUCAGAUGUGUUCGUCUGAUCGGUGGCGGCCGUGGCCUGACUGUUCGUCGUCGUCGGGUCGGUGGCCGUGGCCGGGCUGUUUUGGAAUGACAUAUAGCAGAGCAACAGGGUAAAAACCACAAAGACGAUCACUAGACACAUGUACGCCAGCAGAUAGCCCAUGCUGAUGAGUAGCUAGUAGGAUGCCGUAGCCCGUAGGCGAGGGCCAUCAGAAGUAUGGCGCAGAGGUGGACGAGCAGCUUGGAGCCUUGGAGGCGACAAACCCAAUCGAAAGGGAAGACACCCGCCUCUAACGUCAAUGCUGCCAUCGACAUGAUGGCAACAACGAGCUUAUGUCUUUCCGUCUUCGAGUUAACCUGAUUGACAGCAAUGGCGAGGAGCACCGCCCGGGCAUGCCAUCAUCAUCAUGAUGCCUCCUGUGAAAGCUCGGAGACGGUCCAGGGCGUCCUGAUGCAUAAUGAAGAGAGCAUUAUUUGUUAGAUCUUUUUCUUCCAAAACAAAGGCAUUGGGAAAAAAUAUGUUUGCGAGCAUCCCAACCGUUUUGCAAAUAAGCUUUGCAUUCAUGUAUUUGCAAAAAAGUCUUAAAAACACUUGUCCAACGGUUUGGCAUUUAGACUUUGCAAUUUUAUUAACUUGGCAAAAAGAGAGGAAGGAUUGGCAUAUAUGCCAAACCUGUUCACACUUGGCAUUGAGAAAUUGGCGCGAAGUGAUUAAUGCCAAACCAUUGGAGAUUGCCUCUUUUCACCUUUGCCAUAUUUUUUUGAGACUUGGCAAACUCCCUCAUUUGCUAAACCAAUUAUACAAAACGGUUGGGGAUGCUCUUAACAAUCUUACUAUUAGAACAAGAGGCCCCAGCCUCCAAGUGAAGCUUCCGUGUUAAAGUUGUGUUUGGUUUAGUAUAGUUUUAUAUGUUUUCAAAGUUUGUGGACCUAGUGACAUCCCUCAACAAGUUCUGGGCCGCUGAUGUAGUUUAUGAUAUAAAAGAUAAUUCAAAAUAACCUCCUAACACUCUCCCUAAUUUAGUUACAAACAAGAUUGAAGGGGAGAAAAGGAAGAUUGAAGGAUUGAAGGGGAUCAAAUUUUCAUUGAGAUAUGGUUCAAGAUGCACUUACUUCUAGGGGGGAGAGCUCAUGGACAUUCAUAUUGAACAUUAUAAGGGGGGUCACGUUGCACUUGAUUAUUCUUGUUAAAAUGCCUUAUGUCGUGAUAUGCUAUAGAAUAGACUUGUUUGAUAUGUUGCACUAGUUAUAUAAUUUAAAUUCUUUUUGUGCUCUAAUAUGUUUUUUAGUGAUGUUCUAGCAAUGGUGGUUCUAAGGAUUUUUCAUACAUGCUCAUGCUUCAAAGGUAUACCCUUCAUCCUAUAAACCUUACUAACACUUGGUAGAGAAAAUUAUUCCUCCAACAUCUUCUAAUGAUCUAAUCCAUACAUAUGUGCAUGAGCCGAACCCAAACUUUUUAGCACAUAUAUAGGGGGGAGUUUUGUCUACCAAAAAAGUUGAGUUUUGCUGGCAUUUAUUGUAUCUAAUCCAUGAACUAGCAUAAAUGGCACAAAAAUCAUGUUCAAGCCUACAAAUAUACCUUGUGUACGGAGUUGGGAUGAAUUUCAAUUAUAUUAUUUGUAUUGUUCUCAUCAAUUACCAAAAGUUAGAGACUGAAAGCAUCCAUGCCCCUAUUUAAGUUUUGGUAAUUAAUGAUAACACUUGUAGACUAACAUUUAUGUGAUACUCCCUCCGUCCCUGAAAGCUGCAAUUUUUAGAGUUGUCCUAAGUCAAACUUUUACAACUUUGACCAAAUUUAUAGAAAAAAAUGCUAAGAUUUAUAGUACCAAAUUAAUACCAUUAAAUUUAUUAUAGAAUAUAUUUUCGUGAGAUACUUAUUUUAUGGCAUAGAUAUUGAUACUCUUUUCUAUAAAGUUGGUCAAAGUUAAAAAAGUUUGACUGGCACGGAUUCUAGGAGUUGAAGCUUUUGGGGACGGAGGGAGUAUAUGAAUGGUAGAAACUUAGUCCACAUCAAGGUUUUGAACUACAUGGAUGUCAUAGUGAAGAUGGUGAGGAAGCAUACUGAAAAGCUCAAUGCAAAGGUAUAACAAUAGAGUUUGACUUUUGCCAAUUAUGAGGUGAUUAGUUAUGACCAGAUUGAUAGGAUGCAAAUCGAUAGAUUGAUCGAUGAUCCCCGCUAGCUAAAGCUUACUGUCGAGCCCGUUUUCGAAGUUGUUAAUUGUUCAUUGUAGCUAACAUUUAUCGUGGGACCAAUAUUUCUCUGAUUUAAUUGAAACAAGGUUGGCCAAACACAAGGAAAAUUCGAAAGAAACACAGACAGUUCUAGGUGACCACAUGAUUUAAUUGAAAUAAGGUUUGCAAUUUGCACCAACAGUUACUGGUGCGUGCGUGUGUGCAAUGCAGGCUUUCAGAAGAGCUAGCGCACCCAUGCACACAUGCACCAAAACCUCUUAUUCUGACGCUAAACCAACCAUAUAAAAACAGAAAACGCUCUAUCCCUUGUAGGCAACAAACUCCAUCUCUAGAUCAUCAAUCCCUGGAUCGAUGAUCCACAGUAGCUAACGGCCAAGCCCGUUUUCGAAGUUGAAGUUGCUGCACGCGCCCAUCCUCUGAUCGAACAUGAGGCCGGUGUAGCCGAGCACCCCCUUCUUGAGGUCGAACUCCAUCAGGUUGUUCUCCAUCUGGUGGCCGCCGACGACCACCGCCGGGGAGUCAGGCACCGCGUACGCCGCCGCGGUCCCCGCCCCCAUCUCCACGAAGGCAAAGCACAGCGUCUGCGGGACCACCUCGUCCGUCGCGCUCAGGCUGGUGAACGUCCAGUUCUUCCCGUCGGCCAGCAUCAGGUCGACGGACACCGGCAGGGAGCCGGUCCACGUCCCCAUCUGGUUCAUCACGGUCAGGUUGAAGCAGCGCUCCAGCGGCUUAUUGGGCGCCUCGGAAACGCGCGGGAAGCCGGCCGUGACCGCGUCGAACGCCGCGAGCACCGCGCGGUAGAUGUCCGGGCGCAGCGCCGUGUAGGGCGUCACCGUGCUCAGCGCGACGCCGCCCUGGCCGGUGGCGUCGAGGGUGAGGGCGCCGUCCGGCAGGGCCACACGCGCGCCGUUCACGGCGAUGCCCGCGACGUCGAUGUAGUAGGCGCUGUUCCUCGGGUUCCGGAGGAGGCGGGUGCGGCUCAGGUGGUCGGUCACCGUCUCGACGUCGUCGGCCGAGCCCGGGAUGUGGACGGGCCCGCCGCCGAAGAUGGCCACGUGCGGGAGGCAGAGCGCGAACUUGCUGGACACCUUGAGCUCCGCCGCGACCUGCGACGGCAGCGAGAGCGGCGACCGCGACAGCCCCGCCACGCCGGGGUACGGGUACCGUGAGCUGGGCGGCUGCCGCCCCUGCACCUGCCACGGGAAGAGCUCCGGGAACGAGGAGAACGGGAGGUCAUCCGGCGCGCACGACGCCACGGCGCGGAACGACACCGGGUACAGCGGGCGUUGUCCGUCCGUGGUGUUCGCCGACAGCCACUCCCAGGUGAGCACGCCGCUGCCGCACUUGCCGUUGACCGGGUUGUAGGGGUAGGCGGUGCAGUGGCAGCUGGGCUCCGGGGACCCCGGCCUGCCCCCGUCGAUGUAGGGGCAGUUGGGCGGGUGGUUCCGGUUGGCGACGUGGCACGUGCCGGAGCUGCAGAGGAUGGGGUGCUCCUGCUCUUGCCUCCCAGAGCAUGGCCACCACAGGAGCGGGCCGGCGAGGUCGAGGACGACCGGGUUAGCGUCGUAGUUCCUGACGCUGAUGAGGUAGAGGCCGGUGGAGCUGUCCUUGCUGACGCGUGCGACGACGGGCAGGGGCUUAGACCUCGCAGCUGCGCUCUGCAUGGCGAGCGGCGAUAGGAGCAGCAGCAGAGCUGCCACCACGGCCGCCAUGGCUGCUGGAUGGAUGGCAGAGAGUGGCCGAGAGCGCCGCUGCUACGAGUGUUGUGCUGUUGUCUGAUGGCUGCCUGAUGAUAUGCAUGCAUCCGUGUGCUUAUAUAGCAAUCGCUACCAGUGUUCAGAUUAACAAAUGAAGCUUGGUCAAGUUCUACAGUAGCAGUGCUGAUAGCUGAUUGGACAGGUUCCUCGUAAAUAGGUGUUUCCAGAUCCACUCUACAGAACAGAAUACAGAUAUUAGAUCACGUGUUAUGGCAAGAGGGGUAAAAAAGAAUAAUCCACCGACACUUACAAAUGCUCAAGAUGCAUGGAUGAAGGAUUAGUUUUAAGUAGGGUCAAAAACCUGAAUAGAGAUAUUAUUCCUGAUGCCAAAACGAGAUCAUCAGAAGAUGAUUAAGUUCUUCGGAUAUAGCGAUCCGAUCCGACGUCUGCCAUAGAACCUGCAGCACCGACGCUUCGGUGCGCUACUUUGAUAUACUUUCUGCCGGGGGUGUGAAUUGCAUGCCUAUCUUUUUUAAAUUAAAAAAAACUGUAUAUAUUUGUUUAUUUUUUGUUUGAGAGAAAUUUCUCUCCUCUCCGCCGCUGCCCGAGCCCUAGCCUCCGCAGGCCUUCUCUCUUCCAGUCUUCGCUGCGCCACCAGUCCAACACCCCCUCUAGCAAGGAUCAAUCGCAGCGAGAUGUUGUUCUCCGCGGUAGAUUUGCAAGUUCUUAUAUUGACAUGUUUUUUUUUCUCAAAUAUACAGGAGAGCUACGUAUCAUUGUAUUUAGAGAGAAGAAAAAAAAGGUCCCUAUAAUUAUACCCCCUAUUCUGGACUGAUAAACACAUACACUCUGGGUGAGACCUAACAAACGCUCUAAUCACAUACCUACCCUGUCGCUAGAGCUGGACCUAAGGCAACAAGCUUCCAUGCACUCGCAAGACACGUUUAAGGAGGUUCAGUAUCUUUUUCCUGUCCUUUUUUUGUUCAUUUUUAAAUUUCUAAUAAGCAACUGGAAAUUGAUAUGCGAGUUUGCUGAGUUGUUAUGUUAUAGUGCCCUUUAGUUCUCGGCAUUGCCACAAGGAAGUUUUCAAAAAUUUUGUAUGUACUGAGGAGAUAAUGAACAUUUUGCAUCCAUGUGCUAUGUGGCUAAUCCUGACGAGGAGUUUCCUGUAAGGCCUACUUGAAGCUUGGCAUACGUAUCUCACAUACAAACUGUCAAUUCCCAGAUGUCUUGAAAUUACAUACAUAUAUGCUUGGUAGAGCUCAUUUGCCAUUGCCAUAUACUAGCUGAACUUGAGAUCGAAUUCAUAAGGUUUAAUUUUUUCCCAGUGACGAGCACCGCUGUUCUUCGUAGCUUAUUUACUUCGGCUAUUACUCCACGCGAUGUAACAGACAUAUUGCAGGUCAUCCCCAGCUACGUGAUGCUACGAGUUCAACUGCUGUAGCUGACAACUCUCUAUAAACAGUACAAGGAGAUGUCUCUUUGAUAUUUUGCGCUAAGGCCUUGUAACAAGUUCACCCUGAAAACCAAAAAGUUUUCAAGAUUUCCCAUCACAUCGAAUCUUUUGGCAUAUGCAUAAAACAUUAAAUAUAGACAAAAAUAAAAACUAAUUGUACAGUUUAACUGUAAAUCGUAAGACGAAUCUUUCCCAAACAAGGCCUAAAUCCGCACUUACUUUGGUGGAUAUGUGCCGUGCUAUUGUUGUCCGAACGAUGCACGACCAGAGUAUUGCCACUUGUCAUUGGCAGAGUGCAGGGACCACUGCGUCCAGUGCAGACCCAAAUGCUCGCAGGACUAAGGCCUUGUUUACUUCGCAAAAAUUUUCAAGAUUCUCCAUCAAAUCGAAUCUUUGGUCGCAUGCAUGGAGCAUUAAAUAUAGACGAAAAUAAAAACUAACUGCCCAGUUUACCCGUAAUUUGUGAGAUGAAUCUUUUGAGCCUAGUUACUCCGUGAUUGAACAAUGUUUGUCAAAUAAAAACGAAAUGUUACAGUACCCAAAAACAAAAAAAUUUGCGAACUAAACAAGGCCUAACAGUGAUGGAAGAUCAGCCGUUGGAUGCGACAAUGAGUACUCUACAUUAAAAAGAAGUUUUGUGCAAUCCUAAAGUUCUCAGUUUGUAUGUAGCUAAACAAUAAUACCGAUGCAUAGGAUAUACUAUUUGUUUUAGGCCCUAUUUAGUUUACUACCCAAAAAUUUUUCAUCCAUCCCAUCCAAUCUUUGUACAUAUGCAUGAAACAUUAAAUGUAGAUAAAAAAAUAAACUAAUUACAUAGUUUAGUUGAAAAUCGCGAGACGAAUCUUUUAAGCCUAGUUACUCCAUGAUUAGCCUUAAGUGCUACAGUAACCCACAUGUGCUAAUGAUAGAUUAAUUAUGCUUAAUAGAUUUGUCUUGUAGUUUCCUGACGAGCUAUGUAAUUUGUUUUUUUUAUUAGUUUCUAAAAACCCCUCCCGACAUCCAUCCGACAUAUCCGAUGUGACACCCAAAAAAUUUUGAUCAACAAUCUAAACAGGGCCUUUACUUAUGUUGAUGGUUUCCCUUUGAUAUAAUUAAUUGAUUCAUUCACUGUAUAUACAAGCAAUCUCUCUUGUUCUUCCUCCGUUCUAAGAUUCCAUAGUGGCUUUGAUUGACCUUCCAAGAAAAGUUUGCAUGAAUCUUAACAUAAGAAUUAAUAAAUUUGUUCUGAAUAAAUUUACCCACGGAUCUGGGCCCUAUCCAUGCCCAUACUGAGCUCGACCCUUUGGCGAUCCACGCAAAGAGUGUUGACUUCGAAUUCAUUUUUCAAGCCCGGCGGCAGCACCUCACCAAGCAGAGUUUCCUAUAGCGGUUGCACUUUUGGGUGCUAAGCUCUGAAGUGUCUCUAGUUUCAUUAUAUUUAUUAUUAAACGCAUGCUUUAUAACACACACAGCAACAAAAAAACAAGUUUAUGACAAAUACAAAAAGCGUAGGAGAAAUACAAAACCGGCACAUACACAUGAGCAAGUCGAAGAAGGUGCUCGGUGUACCCUACCUAGCCAGCGAGAGUGAAGUUGAAGUUACUGCACGUCGUCUGCCUGCCGAAGAGCAAGCCACUGAAGCCGAGCUGCCUCUUCUCCUCAUCGAACACCAGCAGGUUGUUCUCCAUCUGGAACCCUCCGAUGAUCACCGCCGGCGCCGUCCCCGCCCCACCGCCGUGGCCGUAGCCGUGCCCUCCCUCAUGCUUCUCCUCCUUCAUCUCGAGGAACGCGAAGCACGCGGUGUCGUCGCUGACCUGCACCAUGGAGUUGCCGCCGAACACCGUCCAGUUGGCGCCGCUCUCCAGCAUCAGGUCCACCUGCGGCACGGCGUAGCCGAGGCGCGUCGACCCGAGCUCCCGCGAGUCGUAGCACAGCUCGAACGGCGGCGUCGGCGGGGUCACCCGCUUCCUCCCGGCCGUGGCCGCGUCGAACGCCCUCACGAACGGCGCGUACACGUCCGGCCGGAGCACCGUGUAGGGGAUGCGCGAGCACAGCGCGACGACAAGCGGCCCCAGCUGCUGCACCUGCACCUGCGCCUGGUUCACGGCGAUGCCCUUGGCCGAGACGAAGUACCCAGGGACCCGGGGUUUCCCGCGGAGCGGCGUGGUGCCCGCCAGCGACGCCGUGACGUCGGGCCUUCCCGGCGGGAGCAGGAACAGCGGGCCCCCGCCGAAGAUCGCCACUCCCUGGCCGUUGCCGGCGCCGGGGAGGCAGAGCGCGAACUUCCUAGCGACCUUCUGCUUGCGAGCGACCUGCGCCGGCAGGGCGAGCCAUGAGCGCGCGAGGCCGGCGACGCCGACGGCGCCCGCGGGGAGACCAGCGAGCAGUGUCGGCGGCGCGCACGCCGCGACGGCGGUGAAGGAGACGGGCGCGAGCGGGUUGGCGCCGUCGGUGGCGUUGGCCGUGACGCGCGCCCGCGUGAGGUCCCCGGACGCUGCCCGGCGCGCGAACGGGUUGUAAGGGUGCGCCCUACACCUGCAGCGGAACGGGUCGUCCUCGUCGGCCACGCCGUGGCCCGUGCGCGGGCAGCCCGGCGGGUGGUGCGCGUGCGCGUGCGCGCACGCCGCGUGGUGGCACUCGUAGCUCGGGUGCGCCGCGGCGCACGUGGACCAGAGGAGCGUGCCGGAGAGGUCCAGGACCAGUGGCAGAGCGUCCUUGAGCGGCGCCGUGUACAGCUUGGUGGCCGCGUCCCUGGUGAUGGCUGUCACCAGGGGCUUGCCGCCGGGCGUUGUCGACGUCGGUGCUGCCGCCGUGCGUGGCGAGAGGAGGGUGAGCGCCGAGACGGCGAGGAGGAGGAGGAGCUGCGCCAUCUUGAGCUGGGCGGGAUGGGUUGGUGUCUAUGUCUGUGACUGUUAGGCUAUGUGAUCGAUCGAUAGAGAGUGCUUAAAUAUUGUAAUGCGCCGCGCUGCAGAUCUGACUGUAAGGACGGACCUUGGAAUGCUUGACGGGCCGGCGUUUUCUAGGUUAUCGCCAGUUUUGGUCAACCAUGGCAUCAGCUAGCUGGACAGGACUGCUGGAGACGAUGGAUCCAUGAGAGUCUGGGGACGGAGUGCCGCGAUUCCCGUAUGCGUCUGGGGACUUGAUGGAGGAGGCCUCGAUUCUGCACUUCGUCAACACGCGCAGAGUUUGUUUGAAAGGAUCAGCUCUAUCUUGCUUAACCGCAUGUGCAUUCAUUGUUGUUAGUGCCUCACUCUCCCAUGUGUACUCCAUCCAGGCCUAGCCGGUGUCGGUGUUUGCAUUGCAUCCAUUCCCAGGUGUCAGCUCGCAUGGCCAACACAGAAGAAGCUGCAUGCCUGCAUGCAGACAUUUCUCUACUGUCUACUCUACUCGAACGUGGCCACGCACAUCUCUGAGCUAGGAUUACCGGAGCUGCACGAGGACCACGACGAUGACGACGCUGGGGUUCGAGCAGCGUACAUAUCGGAUCUGACUCGUUCUGGGGCGCCGCGAGCUCCUCUACUCCUCCAUGCCUCUCAAGCUAGGCUGUAGCAUUUCAAGUUCUGAUUCUUUUUCCUCUGCUGUGGCACUCGAGGCCGAUCUAUCCGUGCCUGACGCCGUGCUUUCAGCGCGAGAUUAUUAAAGCUGCGCGUAAAAAUUACUUGGUGGUUUUCACAGAAUCACACUGCUGAAUGCAUUUUUCCCCCCGAAAACAUACUAUGUUCUAGAUCGACUCUCAAAGGGUAUUAUUAGGUUUCUAACUUGUUCCGUCCAUAUAUUGUCGAUGAAUUAAACAAGAGCCCAGAAUAUAUCAAAGGUAGAACAACAAAAGGUUAUAACAAGGUAUCUACGUAGCCAUUUUAUUUUACAAUAAGAGGGAAAUAUUGACUCUUUUGCUCCGUGGAUAACAGAGGCGAACUCAAACUUGAAAAGGGAGAAACAAGAAAAGUAUGACGGCUGUAGAUUUUUAGAAAUGAUGCCAUUCCUAUUCAUCUAGAUGCUCUAGCUGAUCAGAAUGAUAGCUUUAGUAUGAGACUUUGUUUGGCUGCACUUGAAUCCAUUCCAUUUCAUACAUGGAAUGAGAUAAGAAUGCAGCCAAACAAAACCUAUAAUGAAACUAAAAGUUGUUGCUUCAAUGAUUCUAUUAUAUUGAUGGCUCAACAUCUUCUUGAAAGAACAAAUUCAGCUUCCAUGACAAGUCCAAAAGUAACCUGACAUGCUUUACCAACGUGCACUCCUAGUUCGGAUCCAUCCACUCAUCAAUACCACACCAUAAUGCUACUAAAUCCAUUCCAAAUGAUAAGCCGACGUUUCAAUUUUUCUAGAUAUACUGUCUUUAUUACGUAUUUUGUCAUAGUGCAUAUAUAUAUAUAUAUAUAUAUAUAUAUAAUAAGUUCAUAGAAAAAACUACUUAUCUAAAAAAAGGCAAAACACCUUUGUAAUAGGAGGGAGUAGCAUUUUGUCAAGACGCACAUGAUCUUUUUUUUUUUUGACAACAACGCGCACAUGAUCAUUAAACCAACCUACAUGAACGGGUGGUGACUAUCCAGUUGACUAAAACCCUGCACCGACACUGCCUUAUUACAGUACUACACUUCAAUACUGUCCCCUGGUGAAAUUGAAGUUGCUGCACGCUGAAAUAAACGGCACCUUGGCAAACCCUAGCUGCUUCUUCUCCAGGUCGAACUGCAGCAGAUGGUCCUCCAUCUGGAAUCCCCCGACCACGAUCGCCGCCGCGGCGGGGUCCCCGGCCUUGACCCCCUUCAUCUCGACGAACGCGAGGCACGCCGUCUUCGCGUUCACGUCCACCAUGGAGCUGCUGCCGACGAACGUCCACUCCUUGCCGCCCUCCAGCACGAAGGUUAUCUCCGGCACGCCGUAGCCGAUCCGCGUGGGCGGCAGCAGCGUCCUGUUGUAGCAGAACUCGAAGGGCGGCACCGCGGCCACCCUCAUGUCGCUCCGUAUCAGUCCCCUGUCGAACGCCUCCACGACGGGGCGGUACACGUCCGGCCGGAGCGCGGUGUACGGCACCCUGGUGCACAGCACGACGCCGCCGGCGGACAGCGCGUGCGGCGGGAGCGGCACCGGCACCCGGCCGACGGAGACGUUGGUGACGGGGAUGUAGUACAGCGGGUUGCCAGGCCUGCUGCGUAGCGGGGCGAACUGCAGCGUCUGCGUGAGGUCCCCGCUGGAUGGCUCCCCGGUGAGGAAGAGCUUGAGGUAGAACGGCCCCCUGGUACCAAAGACCGCCACGCCGUCGCCGCGGCCGCCGGACCUCGGGAGGCAGAGCAGGAACGUUUUGGCCACGCGCUGCGACGCCGCGACCUGCGCGGGCAGGGCGAGGCCGGCGGCCGACAGCCCCGCGACGCCCGUGACGUCCCUGGGCAGCUUCUCCAGGAGCGUCGCCGACGCGCACGCCGCCACGGCGGGGACGGAGACCUGGCUCAGCGGGUUCUUGCCGUCGGUGGUGUUGGCGAUGAGUCGGGUGUGGACGAGCUCCGCCGCUGCGCACCGCCCCGUGAUGGGGUUGUACGGGUAGGCCUUGCACCGCUUUGAGCAUUGUUGGCCGGCGCCGGCGAUGCCGCAGCUCGGCGCGCGGUAGGCGUUAGCGAGCUUGCACACCGGGUCGCGGCAGGAGAUCUUGGCCGGUAUGUGGUCGCAGGUGGACCAGAGGAGCGGGCCGGCGAGGUCGAUGACGUGGUGGGCGCCGUCGCGGGUGGGGAUGGUGUAGAGGGAGGUGGCGGCAUCCUUAGCUACUGGGAGGAGCACGGGGGCGGCGCACGAUGCCGGGCACGACGACAGCACAAGCGCCAAGAUGGCCAGGAGGAGGACGGGGUUGGGUCGUGGCAUCUUCUUCCUUGGUGGAGCUUUGCAUGUGAUGUGAUUGGUGUUCGCCGGUGCGUCUGUUAUGUAGCGAUCGAUCACCUGUUGUCACCUCGAUCGAUCACCUGUUGUCAGGCGCUGUCACGAGAUGGUCGGUGCAUCGUACGUGCAGCAGCUUCUGAAACACCUUGUUUAGUUUCUAAAAGUGAAAAGAUUUCGGUACUGUAGCACUUUCGUUUGUUUGUGACAAAUAUUAUCCAAUCAUGGACUAACUAGGAUUAAAAGAUUCGUCUCGUGAAUUCCAGCUAAACUGUGUAAUUAGUUUUUGUUUUCGUCUAUAUUUAAUGUUUCAUGCAUGUGCAAUAAAAUUCGAUGUGACGCGAAAUCUUGAAAAUUUUUUGGUUUUCAGAGUGAACUAAACAAGCCAGAAGAGAUCCGAAACCUGAAAAUCGGCGAGGCUGGCCGCCGUGAGGGCGUGGCGUAUCGACGAAGGUGCGGGCGAGUCAACGGAAGCAUUCAAUGCAAGCAUAGCAUAGCAUGCAUGCAUGGUUGCAUGCCCGCAGGAACCGACCACCUUCUCUGUGGGUACUCGCUCCGGCCUAAAACAAUUGAGAACUCAAACUUUCAAAAAUUUGAUUAAUUAUAGAGAAAAUAACAUUAAUAUUUAUAUCUCUAAAUAAAUUUAUUAUAAAAAUAUGUAUUUUACUAUUGAUAUAUAACAAUACUUAUAUUACAUACGAUAAACAUGAGUAUUAUUUUUACAUAUUAUUGGUUAAAUUUGAAAGCAUUUGCCUUCUCUAGAAGUAGAUCGAGAAGCACCUUUUUAAGAUGGAGGGAGUACAUGUACGGCUACAUGUCUGCAUAUGUGUUGACCGUCGCACCAGCUAGGGGGCUUCCAUUCGCUACUACAAAAGUUAUUAACCGUGACCUUUCAAAAUGACCCUCGGAGGCGGGCAACAUUUUCAACCGCCUCGGUUAAUGGCUAGCAUUAACCGAGGCGGUUAUUUUUUAUUAACCGAGACGGUUACAGUCAACCGCCUCGUAAAAUCUAUUUACCGAGACGGUUUUUCUAACUCAACCGUCUCGGUUAAUAUUUAUUAACUGAGGCGGUUUUUCUAAUGCAACCGCCUCAGUUAAUAUAUUAACCGAGGCGGUCACAUUACAAAGCCCGUCUCCAUAAAUAAAGCCUAACCCACAGGCCCACUUCAGGCCCACUACCAUAGGCAAUAUAUAAACGAAAUCUCAUCUCAAACCCUAACUCCUCUCUGAGCCGCACCCUCUCCCCAUCCCCUCCCCACCCGACCCCAUCGCACCGGUCUCGACCCCCGUCGCACCGUAGCCCUCCCUUCCCGGCCUCCUCCCCUCCCCUCCCCUCCCCUCCCCUCCACUACUCCCAUCCUGGCACCCCUUCUCUCCCUCUCGAACUCAUCUCUCUCUCUCUCUCUCCCACGUCGGCGGUGCAGCUCCCUACAGCAGGGGCGCGGCUCCAUCCCCCCUAGAGCGGCGGCGUCGGAGCAGGGCCAGGAUGAUCCUCGCCUCCCUCUCGACGGUGACGAGCUCGACGUCGCCGUGGGUUCCUGCGGCGCGAGGCCAGAUCCGGCACGACGCAGGGGGCUUGGCCUGGUGGCGUGGCAGCACAGCGCGGGGGGCCCUCCAAGGCGGCGCGACGGCGGAUCCAGGGUCAUUCUGGCGAUGAAGGUAGAACCCUCUUUCUCUCCAUCUCCUUCACUCAUCCCUCUCUUCCCCUCUUCAUCUCCCUCACCCUUUCCCUUUUGCAGAUCCAGUGGAGCAGAGGCAAAUACAGUGAAGCAGGGCAGAGCGUGGGCGUGGAUUUAGCAGAGCGUGAGCGUGGGCAAUGGGCUCAGAAAUGGGUUCUCCGGUGGGCUCUGUUUUUUUGUUUUCAUUAAAUUCAUUAAUCGUGGCGGUCUUUCUUACUUGCCCGCUGUGGUUAAUGGAUUAACCGUGGCGGGCACAGGCAACCGCUGCGGUUAAGCCACCAUUAGUGGUGACCUUUCAUUCGUGGCGGUCGCAUGUGCCUGCCUCGGUUAACCAAAAACGACCGUCGUAGUUAAAGAAUUUUGUAGUAGUGAUUGACGCCACCGUGGAUCGAGAGAAGUGGCACUGCUCCCUGAGAUUUUAACUUGGGAACUCAGGAUAUUUUUUUUAAUGACUAACGUUAUAUAUGUCAAUACAAUGCAACGAUAAAAGAAAGAGGAGAGGGGGGCACAAGUUAGAUCACUUGAUGCUAGAGUAGCAGAGCUGAUCUUAAAGACUAAUAAGAUCAGGCUUGUCCAUUGCAACCUUUACAAGAAAUUAUAAGGUAGCUAUAAAGAAGGAAGCAAAACCCCGAAAGGAAUGGUAAAGCCCUUCAGGAAGGAAAGAUUACGGCGAAUGUUGAUGAAUCCACAUAAAAACAUGGGAUGUGGUAGCAUAAGGGUACGUAGUAAUUAGAGAUUGCUCGAGGGAGUUCACAUACGAAUCGACAGUCAACCAGGCAUUGUGAUGGAUUCAACCAAGGAAGAUGAGGCAAAUCAAGAUCCAUCAUUGAAGUUUGCAUUGAGAAAAGCGUCUUUAAUGUCAUGUGAAAUUUUGUUAUGGCUGUUGCUUAGCCCUUCUUUUGAGAUCAUUGCGUUAACCGUUGUCAAACGCUUUUGUUGGGUUAACCCCAAGUAGCUUUUGCUCUUUUCAGUUGUCUGGCUCUUCUGUUUUGCUUUCAAAACUCAAGAUACUUUGUAUUUCCAUUAUCAGUAAUGAAAAUGGGAUAACCCCUAGUUUGAAAAAAAUAUAAAAAAUGAUUUACCCAUUGUUUAUGAAAUAAUUUUCAACUAUACUUGUGGCACAUGUUCACUACCUUAAAAAUGCUAAAAAGAAGUUAUCGAGUACAACACUACCCACGGAGAACGUGGUUAUUUUUUGCCCUUGAGGGCACAUACUCUCAUCCUCCCAUCUUUUGAAUUUGUAUAAUUCAAUGUCUAGGAGGGUGAGAGCAUGUGCUCAUUUGGACCCUGGCCCGCCCGACACCGAAUGGCUCAACUGUAAUGCCGCGACCGUCUCGUCCCUGUCCAGUCUACCUUUCCCUCCUCUCCGGCUCCACCACCGUCACGCCACCUCGCCGGCGGCAGAAUCCCGACCGGGGAAGAUCUUCGUGAAGAACCGCAAGAUCACUAAACGUCGACACACCCAUCGUCCUCACCUUCGAGAGUCAAGACGCGGCGCCGCAAGGUCGCCAGUUCCAGCCGGCACAGUAGACGUGGGAUCGUAUCAGAUUCGUCGUUGCAGCCGGCAGGCCGAAGCCCAAUUCAGCCCACAAUACGAAACGUGUCGUGCGACGCUGGGAGGACUCCGGUCCAGCCGGACACGUUGGCCGCCCCGAUGUUCCUUAGGCCGUGUUUAGUUCCUGAAGGGAAAAACUUCGUGACACUGUAGCAAUUUUGUUUGUUUGUGGUAAUUAUUGCCUAACCAUGGACUGACCAGGCUUAAAAGAUUUGUCUUGUAAUUUUUGACCAAACCGUGCAAUUAAUUUUAUUUUUGUCUAUAUUUAAUAUUUCAUGCAUGCGUCUAAUUAAAGAUCCGAUGUGACGGGGAAUCUUGAAUAAUUUUGGAUUUUAGGGUGAAAGUAAAUAAGGCCUUAUAAGAUCGCGAGGGAGGUGCGGCCGCACUGCACACAGAACACAAACCUGCCGCUAAUAAUCCCCCCUAGGGUUUCACCGCGCCAUCACCUCCUCCGUAAGCAAUCGAAUCCCUUGUUUUCCGCGCGGCGGAUCGGAAGAGCGAGAGGGCAGAGAAUCGAUGGCUGUGGGCGGAGGAUACUUGUCCGCUACGUCGUCUACCGUCGUAGAGACCAAGUGGUGCUGGAGGCCGCGGCCGCCGUCGAUCCUCCGACGACGGAGGCGGAGGAGGCUGCUGUUGCUGUGGACUCUGACUCUGACUCGGAGAUAACAAAAUGGGGCCUUGUUUAGUUUCCAAAAGAAAAAAUUUCACGACAUUGUGGCACUUUCGUUUGUUUGUGGUAAUUAUUGUCUAACCAUAGACUAACUAAGCUCAAAAGAUUGGUUUCGUUAAUUCCGACCAAACUGUGCAAUUAGUUUUUAUUUUCGUCUAUAUUUAAUACUCCAUGCAUGCGUCUAAAGAUUUAAUGUGACGAGAAAUCUUGAAAAUUUUUGAGUUUUUGGGUGAAAAUAAACAAGGCUGGGUGGAGAUGCCUCUCCUCGCCUGCGCUGGGUUCUCGGGAGGACGAGGGAGAGGGACCCGGUCCCUAAACUGGAGGACUACGACAUCUACACCGAGGAGGACCUCGGCCUUUUUAGUUUUCUAUCCAAAAUUUUUUCAUCUAUCAUAUCGAAUCUUUAGACAUAUGCAUAAAAUAUUAAAUAUACAUAAAAAAUAAACUAAUUACAUAGUUUGGUUGAAAAUCGCGAGACAAAUCUUUUAAGCCUAGUUACUCUAUGAUUAGCCUUAAGUGCUACAGUGACCCACAUGUGCUAAUGACAGAUUAACUAUGCUUAAUAGAUUUGUCUUGCAGUUUUUUGACGAGCUAUAUAAUUUGUUUUUUUAUUAGUUUCUAAAAACCCCUUCCGACACAUCUGAUGUGACACACAAAAAAUUUUUAUCAUUAGAUUGGAGAUGAAAAUUUUUUGGAUGUCACAUCGGAUAUAUCGGAAGGAUGUCGGGAGAGGUUUUUAGAAACUCAUAAAAAAACAAAUUACAUAGCUCGUUAGGAAACCGCAAGACAAAUCUAUUAAGUAUAAUUAAUCUAUCAUUAGCACAUGUGGGUUACUGUAGCAGUUAAGGCUAAUCAUGGAGUAAGUAGGCUUAAAAAAUUCGUCUCGCGAUUUUCAACCAAACUGUGUAAUUAGUUUAUUUUUAUAUGUACAUUUAAUGUUUCAUGCAUGUGUCUAAAGAUUCGAUGGGAUGGAUGAAAAAAUUUUGGUAGGAAACUAAACACGGCGUUAGGUUGAACAUGAAAAUUUUUUAAGUGUCACAUCGGAUGUGUCGGAAGAAUGUCGGGAGGAGUUUUUAGAAACUAAUAAAAAAACAAAUUACAUAUAGCUCAUCACGAAACUGCAAGACAAAUCUAUUAAGCAUAAUUAAUCUGUCGUUAGCAUAUAUGGGUUACUGUAGCACUUAAGACUAAUCAUGGAGUAACUAGGCUUAAAAGAUUCGUCUCGUGAUUUUUAACCAAACUGUGUAAUCAGUUUAUUUUUUAUGUACAUUUAAUAUUCCAUAAAUGUGUCCAGAGAUUCGAUGAGAUGAAUAAAAAAAUUUUAGGUGGGGAACUAAACAGGCCAUGAUUCCCGCACCAAGGUGCUGCCAUCCGAAGAGUUCUAAGGUCAUGUUUAGUUCCUAAAAAAAUUUACAAAAUGUUUCAAAUUUCUCGUCAUAUCGAAUCUUUAGACGCAUGCAUGAAGUAUUAAAUAUAGACGAAAAUAAAAACUAAAUACACAAUUUGGUCGGAAUUGUCGAGACAAAUCUUUUUAGCCUAGUUAAGUCCAUGAUUGGACAAUAUUUAUCAAAUACAAACGAAAGUGUUACAGUAUCGAUUUCUUAAAAAAAAAUAAAACUAAACAAGGCCUAAUACUCCUCGGUCUGCUUUGCUAAGGCUAUGCAACCAAUUUAUCUAUAUAUGCCCCCAUAAUCUAUCUAGUACAGUUACAGACUUACAGUAGUAUAUGUGAGAGUAGGAUAUAGGACUAGGAGUUGAUGGUGAUGCUUUAAUCAGGGUCUUGUGACUCUUGUCCUUUUCUCAUGUCAAUUGUACUUUGGAAAUUGGAACUCAUGUCUUCGUGCUAUGUAUAGCCAGGGCACUUACAAUGCAGACUCUAUCAUAUAGAGUCUAAAGUUAUUUAUUACCUUAAAUAAUAUAGACUUAGAGUCUAAAUAAAACUUGAAGUCUUAUUUUUCUACCUCUUUCUUCAAUAAAUAUCCUGCCACAUUAGUAAAAUAUCAUAAAUAAUAUGUAAUUAAUUGUCUUAGACUCUGUGAUAAAGUCUUGCAUUAUAAAUACUCUUAGGCCUUGUUUAGUUCACCCAAAAACCAAAAACUUUUCAAGAUUCCCCAUCACAUCGAAUCUUGAGGCACAUGCAUAGAGCAUUAAUAUAUAGACGAAAAUAAAAACUAAUUUCACAGUUUGCCUAUUGUGGGGGUAUAAACCCCUAUACCCUCAUGGGCCUAUAUGGGCCGCACCAUCAGAGGUGGCUCGGCCCACAAGAUGAAGACGUGCGGCGCACGACUGGUCGGCGUGCACCGCAAGGCUACAAGAUUUUGUACCAAAUAGGAUACUUUGCUUGUAACUCUGUCCCUUCAGGAUAUAUAAGGAGGGGCAGGGGUCCCCUAGAGGACACAUCACAUCAUAUUCUCUCAACACAAAUCAAUACAACCAGACGCAGGACGUAGGUAUUACGCCAGCUCGGCGGCCGAACCUGGAUAAAAAGCUUGUCCGUGUCUUGCGUCACCGUCGAGUUCGUAGUUUGCGCACCGUCUACCGAUAAACUACUACCGUGGGUAUACCCUAAGGUAGACUGCCGACCAGCUUUCGUCGACAGUGGCGCGCCAGGUAGGGGGUGUGCGUGCAACUUUCCCGACGAACAAGAUGGUCAUUAUCCCCGACUUCGUGGCCAUGGCGGGCGACUUCACGUUCACCGUCAGCUUCAACAGCUUCACCGCCACGACCACGGAGGAGGUGUAGAUCCGAUCUGCGCCAAUCACUUCUUCAUCGACGUCGGCGGCGGCUUCAACCACGCUGGCUACGACUCCAACUAUUCCAGCAACGUCUCCGACCACGCCGACAACGCGUGACCCGCUUCUCUGCUACAAAGGGAGGCAGAUCGACGACACCGACCUGCUCAGGCUAUCGACCAAGUUGUGUGGCCUACUUGCUCUGACCACGAGUCGCAAUAAUAAUCGCCGCGAAGAACGGCGCUACGACAGCCGCGACCACCAUCACGACAACAAGUCAAGCAACUCUCCCGACCAGACUUUCGUCCAAAGAUAAGUACAAUUCUAAUAUUUUAUUUAUUUUUGGCAUAAUAUUUUUAAGAUUAUUAUUCUUCAAAACAACUUUUUUAGCCGACUAGUUUUUUCUCCUACACGAGCUUUCCAGAGCUGGUACUGUCUCCGACUCCUCCCUACACGUGCACGAGAUCCGCCCUCUGCGUUCCGGGUGGUCGGCAGUAGCUCUCUGACGUGGCUGACAAUCCUACGCAUGCCUAGGUUCCGCACCUCAUGCUGAUUGUUGGCUAGACCAGAGCUGGUACAAGCUCUAGGAUGAAUUAACUACUCGUGCUAAUUUUAUAACAAAAAAUCUAAAACUUAUCUUAGUACUGAUUUUUUAUCUAAAGGUUAUUUAUACAUCAUGUACUACCAAUUCUUUAUAUUUAUUUUUCAGGAGUUUGGCCCAGUCGACAAGCUACGCUUGGAGACUUGUCGACUAUUCCCUACGCUGUGCCCGGAGACUGCUCCGACCACCGAGCACGUUUACGUUCCCAGCCACGCUCGGGGACUUGUCGACUACUCUCUAUGCUGUGCUCGAAGACUGUGCCGACCACCGAGCACGUUUACGUUCCCAACCACGCUCGGGGACUUAUCCACCGGUCCCUACGCCGUGCUCGGGGACUGUGCCGACCACCGAGCACUAUACGCUCGGGGACUGUUCGACCAGCUCACCAAUUUGAGAGUUUUGGGACUGUACCGACCACCGAGCACUAUACGCUCGGGGACUGGUCGACCAGCCCAUCAAUUUGAGAAUUUUGGGACUGUACCGACCAGUGAGCACUAUACGCUCGGGGACUGGUCGACCAGCCCACCAAUUUGAGAAUUCGGGGACUGUACCGACCACCGAGCGUUAUAUGCUCGGGGACUGGUCGAUUAGUCUAUUCAAUUGCAGACGGACUGGUAAAUUCAAUUUUUUAGAACUUGCUACAAGGCUCAUACUUCGCCUUCCAGCAAGCUCGGGGACUACAUCGGUACGAUGCAUCUGGCGAUGCAUCUCAGUUUCAGAAUUUCUUUGAGGACUUUUCUUUUGACCCUGGCACCACGUGCCUACGUCACCUACUACCAGGCUCGGGGACUAAGUGGGCACACUUCACCUUGCGGUGAAUAUGCUUGCUUUUUUGAGGUCUAUACUUUUUAGAAAAGUAAAGUGGGCACACUUCACCAGGAAAGAAAUCUUUUUUAGAGCACCAUGCAUUCUUCGAACAACCUGCUUCUUCGAUGUCAAUGUUGAUCAACUGUCUUUUGAGUUGGUCAAAAUACCGUUGCAACUGUUUGGGCGACUUUCCUGCUUAUUGAAGACGUCAAGCCUCACUGAUCGAAGAAGCUCAAGACGGCGUGUUACAUCAUAAUACAUGGUGCUCGGGGACUAGCUGUGGGGGUAUAAACCCCUAUACCCUCAUGGGCCUAUAUGGGCCGCACCAUCAGAGGUGGCUCGGCCCACAAGAUGAAGACGUGCGGCGCACGACUGGUCGGCGUGCACCGCAAGGCUACAAGAUUUUGUACCAAAUAGGAUACUUUGCUUGUAACUCUGUCCCUUCAGGAUAUAUAAGGAGGGGCAGGGGUCCCCUAGAGGACACAUCACAUCAUAUUCUCUCAACACAAAUCAAUACAACCAGACGCAGGACGUAGGUAUUACGCCAGCUCGGCGGCCGAACCUGGAUAAAAAGCUUGUCCGUGUCUUGCGUCACCAUCGAGUUCGUAGUUUGCGCACCGUCUACCGAUAAACUACUACCGUGGGUAUACCCCAAGGUAGACUGCCGACCAGCUUUCGUCGACACCUGUAAAUCAAGAAAAAUUUUGAUUUUGGCUACUUUAGCACUUUCAUUUUAUUUGAUAAUUAUUGUCCAACCAUAGACUAACUAGGUUCUGUCCAACCAUAGACUAGGUUUAAAAAAUUCGUCUCGCAAAUUAUAUAUAAACUAUAUAAUUAAUUAUUAUAUUUAUCUAUAUUUAAUGUUCCAUGCAUGCGUCCAAAAAUUCGAUUGACAUAAAUUUUGAAAAUUUUUGGAAACUAAACAAGACCUUAGUUUCUUACGAGAAGUAAUUUAUACUUAAAGAUUUCACCGAGCUCUGUUGAAACUGAGCCGAUAUUGUAGCUUAAUUUGAAGAUAGCGUUGUUUUGUAACAAGAGUCAGCAUUUGACCAUUUGUUGACUGAUUCGGAACCCAGACACAAGUUUUUUUUUUUUUGACAAGUAGACACAAGUUAUUUUUGGUGUUUUGUUGCACACUCUACUGGGUCUUGGUGAAGUUGAAGUUGCUGCACGCCGUAAAAAACGGCACCUUGGCAAACCCGAGCUGCUUCUUCUCCAGGUCGAACUGCAGCAGGUGGUUCUCCAUCUGGAACCCUCCGACCACCACCGCCGCCGCGGCGGGGUCCCCGGCCUUCACCCCCUUCAUCUCGACGAACGCGAGGCACGCCGUCUGGCCGUUCACGUCCACCAUCGUGCUGCUGCCUACAAACGUCCAGCUCUUCCCGUCCUCGAGCACCAAUGCAAUGUCCGGCACGGCGUAGCCGAGGCGCGUGUUCCCCAGCAUGCUGGACCUGUAGCAGAGCUCGAACGGCGCCACUCCGGGAACCUUGGCGUCGUUGCGCGCCAGGGCCCUGUCGAACGCCUGGACAACCGGGCGGUACACGUCCGGCCGGAGCUCGGUGUACGGCACCCUGGUGCACAGCACGACGCCGCCGGUGGCCAGCGCGGACGCCGAGAGCGGCACUCGGGCCUGGUUGACGGCGACGCCCUGCACCGGGAUGUAGUACAGCGGGUUGCCUCUCCUGCGGCGGAGCGCGGUGAACGCCAGCGUCGACGUGAGGUCCCCGACCGCCGAGUCCGGGAUGAGGAACAGCGGGCCCCCGCCGAAGACGGCCACCCCCUCGCCGCGCCUCGGAAGGCAGAGCAGGAACCUGUUGGCGACGCGCUGCGACGCCGCAACCUGCGCGGGCAGGGCAAGGCCGGCGUCCGCGAGCCCCGCGACGCCCGCGGCUCCCGCGGGCAGCCGCGGCAGGAGCGUCCUCGGGGCGCACGCCGCCACGGCGCGCACGGAGACUUGGCUCAGCGGGUUCCUGCCGUCGGUGGUGUUGGCGAUGAGCCUGGUGUGGACCAGGCUCGCCGCCGCGCACCGCCCCGUGACGGGGUUGUACGGGUACGCCUUGCACCGCCGCUUCGCGCCGCAGGGGUGACCGGCAAUGCGGCAGCUCGGCGCGCGGUAGGCGUUGGCGAGCUUGCACACCGGGUCGCGGCAGGAGACCUUGGCCGGCAGGUGGUCGGCGGCGCAUGUGGACCAGAGGAGCGGGCCGGCGAGGUCCAUGACGUGGUUGGCGCCGUCCCUGACGGGGAUGGUGUAGAGGGAGGUGGCGGGGUCCUUGGCCACCGGGAGGAGCACGGGGUUGGCGCACGAUGCCGGCCAUGCCAGCAGCAGCAGCGAGAUGACUGAGAGGAGCAGGGGGGUGCGCCGCCGUGGCACCUCCAUCUCCAUCAGCGGUGGGCGGCGGGUGGUCUGGUCGAUAGGAAGCAAGAGAGUUGGCUUUGUGGAUGGCGUUCGAUGCGUGCCCGCUCGCGUUCAGUAAUAUAUGUAGUGUCACUUGGAGCUGGAGCUUGCUCUUCCAUACGCAGAAGCGACACCACCAUUGCUGGAUCAUGGAAUGCAGGUGCGUAUGCGUUUGAGACAAGGCAGGGCCAGCCUGUAACCUCCACAGUCGCCGUGUUCACCUGUCACGAGGAAUGGCAGUGUCGAGCUCUAUGCACGCAGCACGCAGGGAAUGGCAAGCAAUGGCAAUACAUCCCCGUCGCUUGCUGAAACUGUACAGAUCGAAUAAUGUUGUCGUAGCCUACCACCAUGCGUCCGUGCCGAUCUCGGAUCUUGCCGUGGCCGCGUGGCGUAUGGGCGAAGCCAUGCAUGGAAGUGAGUGCGAGUCAACGGAAGAGUGCGCACCUGUCAGCCGGAAACCAGGAGGAUGGAACGCAGGAGAGCUGUCGGCCUUGUUUAGUUCCUCAAAAAUUUUGCAAAAUUUACAUUAAGUAUUAAAUAUAAAUAAAAAUAAAAACUAAUUGCACGGUUUGCUCGGAAUUUACGAGACAUUCUUUGAGCCUAUUUAGUCUAUAAUUGGAUAAUAUUUGCCAAAUACAAAUGAAUUUGUUACUAUUCUUAUUUUGUAAAAAAUUUUGGAAGUAAACAUUGGGUACAUAGGCCUGUUUUUCACCCAAGGCCUUGUUUAGUUCCAAAAAAAAUUACAAAAUUUUUCAGAUUCCUCGUCACAUCAAAUCUUUAUACGCAUGCAUGAAGUAUUAAAUAUAGAUAAAAAUAAAAAUUAAUUGCACAGUUUGGUCGGAAUUGACGAGACGAAUUUUUGAGUCUAGUUAGUCUAUGAUUGGAUAAUAUUUGUCAAAUACAAACAAAAGCGGUACUAUUCCUAUUUUGACAAAUUUUUUGGAACUAAACAAGGCCCAAAAAAAGCUAAAAACUUUUCAAAAUUCAUCGUCACAUCGAAUCUUAAGGCACGAGCAUUAAAUAUAAAUAUAAAUAAAAAUUAAUUGUACAGUUUGCCUGUAAAUCACGAGACGAAUCUUUUAAGCCUAGUUAUUUUAUGAUUGAACAAUGUUUGUCAAAUAAAAACAAAAAUGUUACGGUGUUAAAAUCCAAAAAACUUUUUAGAUCUAAACGAGGCCAUAGAAUAUUUUCAAGAUGGAAGCCGCGUAAGCCCCGCAUUGCCCACCCCACAAAAAUCCCGUUUUGGACAAUGCAGAUAGUCUGCUAUGCUAUUGCGGCUUAAAGCAGAUCAAUCCGCUAAGCCCAAUGGAUAUUAGCAGGGCUGCAACAAUGCUAGAACCCGUAAAUCCUCUUCCUUAGGCUUCACGUUGGAUGCCAUGACGACAUCCUGCCUGGCCUCACUCUCCGCAUCUCGAACGUGUCACGCUUCCCCUACACGCACCCGCGUGGCCUCCCCUCGGCCCUCGGCCACCCGUGUUAUGCGCAUCGCCGGGGAGACCUCGUCUCCACACUCAAGCAAGACUGCAGGAGGAGGAUGAUAUCUCGUCGCACUCCGACUCCUACUAUGCACGCUUCGCAGGUACGACCACCGCGGAAUCAAAGAGUAUCUCAGGUGCGUGUUCCGAUUCCGCGGCACAAAAUGCAUGGCACGACUUCUCCCUGGCAUACGGCGGCAGCGACCGGGAAUCUUCCGGUCCGGAACCACGCGCCGAUGUUUCCCGCGCAUAUCGUCUUGUUCGCACUUCCGCUUUGUCCGCACUUCCGCGCUGCCGCAGCUCGCUCGGAUACGACGGCCCAUUAGCAUGCGGUCCAUUCUGCUGGACACAACGCAAACUGACUGCACGUAAAUUGGCAUUUAGACUCUGCACGUAACUUGUUGGAUGCAUGUGUUUUCUUUAUAUUUUAUUUUUUCUUUUUUUCUGUGGUUUUACUUUCACUCUUUUUAAUAUUUAUCUAUUUUUGUUUUAUUUCUUUUUAUUUGCUAAUUAUGUUUUUUCUUUUGAUUCAUGUUUUUCAUUUUUUAAUAUUUUCUUUAUUUUUAUUUUUAUCCUUUAUCUUGUUAUUUUUCUUUCUUUUUUUUUUCUUAUCUUUUGUAUUUUUCCAUGCUUCGAUCUAUUUUUUUAUUUUGUUUUAUGUGAAUUGUCAUUAUUUUUUAUUUUUUAUCUUUCUUUUUAUUUUUUUAAUGUUGUAAUUGAUUACAAGUAAUUUGUUUUAUUUUUUUAUUCCUUUUUGUUUUGUUUCUUUUUUUCUUUUUGUAUUUAUGUUUUGUAUAUGUUUUUAUUUUUUUACUCCGAUUAACCUCAGUACUAUAUAAGGUGCUAUGAUAUUCAUGUAGUAUACAAUAAUCUAUGACACGUUUUGUGAUGCUCGUGUAGUAUACAUGUGAUGCUCUGUUGUAUGUUGAGAUGUUCACGUAGUAUACAUACAAUACUCUUUGAUUUAUUUUGAGAUGUUCACAUAGUAUACAUAUAACGUUAUAUAAUGUGUUUUAUAGUAUUCACGUAGUACACACGUGAUGUUUUAUGCUCUAUUUUGUGAUGUUCACGUUGUAGACGUGUGAUGUUCUAUAAUGCAUUUUGUGAUGUUCAUAUAAUAUAUACGUGAUGUUCACGCAAUAUACAUGUGAUGUUCUAUGAUGUAUUUUGUGAUGUUCAUAUAAUAUACAUGUGAUGUUUUGUGUUAUAUUUUGCGAGGUUCAUAUAGUAUAUAUGUGAUAUUCUAGAUGUUUUUUUUCUAAUGUUCACAUGGUAUAUAUGUGAUGUUAUAUGUUGUACUUUUUGAUGUUCAUAUGUCAUGCAUGCGAUGUUCUAGAUAUAUUUCUGGAUGAGCACAUAAUAUAAGUCUAAUGUUACAUGACUAUCUUUGAGUAUUCAUAUAAUACUUGUGUGAUAUAUUUUUUCUAGUUUGAUAUGGUUCUUCUGGAUGUGCACAUGUGAAUGUUCGUGUUGUAUAUCUGUGAUGUUCGUAUGGUAUACGUAUGAUGUUCUAGAUGUAUUUUUAGAUGUUCAAGUGUAUAUAUUGUUGUAUGAGUUUUUCCUUUUGUAUGUUGUCUUUUUCUUACUCGUUUUUCCUGUUGCUUAGAUUUUUUUUCCAUGUUUCCAUGAAAUGUCUCAAGGUAUUUUUAGUAUAAAAUAUUAUUCUUUUGGUGGUUGGAUAUUAUUUUUUUACGUUGUAUGGUAUAGUGAAAAAUUUACACAAUUAUCACGGUGUAGUGGUGGAUAGUCGCAUCGCACAACCAUUGAAGCAGUAGAUCUUGUGUUCGAAUUCCAUUCUAGGCUAUUUUUGUCCUUUUCAUUUAUUUCUGAAGAAAGAUCUGUAGCUGAAAUGGGCCAGAUCACGGGAAGCUGAGCGGAUAUGGGCCGAAGCUGUCGCGAUAACCUAAGCUAGGCCAGGAAUGAGAACUGGGCCUGAAGCGCGCGCGCGGGAAGAAUUGCCGGACCGAGAUUAUGGUCCAAACGGGCGGACCAUAAUGGCCCCCGGCGGCGACGGCGACGACGUCGUCAUCAGCUGGAUACUCGCACACCGCACUGCAAGUGCGGUCGACUCAUAUAUCCUCAUGUACUCUCACGGUGGCACCUCUAUGCGGAGAUCUACACUCUCGCUGAGAUCAAUGUGGCUCACCUAUGAAGCCAAUUCCACAUGUGUCUGCUUCUUCUUCGUGCUUGCAGGUCCUGCUAGGCCUAGCAGGUUUCCUUGCCAAGCCGAGUGGGUAUCUUGUGGCUACCUCGCUUGAGGCCUUGUUUAGUUCCCAGAAAAUUUUAUUCCCCGUCACAUCGAAUCUUUAGACGAAUGCAUGGAGUAUUAAAUAUAGACGAAAAUAAAAACUAAUUGCACAGUUUGGUCGAAAUUGACGAGACUUAUCUUUUGAUCUUAGUUAGUCCAUGAUUGGACAAUAUUUAUCAAAUACAAACGAAAAUGUCACUAUUUAUAUUUUGUAAAAAAAUUUGGAAGUAAACAAGGCCUGAGUUGGUGGACACCCGUAGAAUGUGCAAAUUAGCGUUGCGGCCAGUGCGGUGCGGUAGCUUGUAAGACGUCUCUGCAGAGCGGCCCGCUUACAUGGUGAGAAUAUUUUUCUCUCAUAAUAAAUAAAUAAAUAUUAGCCGAUUUACGAGCUGCAAAAACCAUAAGCCGAACAGCUCAUACUAUGGUUGCACGAAAACCAAAAUGAACAGGAACAUAGAGCGGGAGCUUUGCGUAGAGCGGGGCCGUCACUGCCAGGCUCCGGAAGGACCGAAGGAGGCUGGCCGGCGCGCAGGACGGGAGGGACGCCGUGCGCGCGCAGUGACCUCUGCAGUCGUCGUGGCGUUCAUGGCGUCGGCGAUGUUUGCGAGCAUAAGGUCGCCGGCGGCCCGAUCACCCAUUACGGGGUUGGUUGGAUGGGCACGACAUUUGCACUGCCCCCGCCUUCCUCCAUCAGCUAAAUGAAACCUUGAGUGAGAGCUACAUGUGCCGGACAGAAAACCAUAUGCCAUGCAAGUGUAUCGAUCGAGUCUUUUAAUUUGUUUUUUUGCCUGCUGAGUACGUGGCUCCCUAACUUCUCUACUCUUCUAAGGUAUAAUAUAGGGGUGAAUCUCAAUCUAUCUGUCAUUUGGUACACCAAUUUGUCUCCAAAUUAGUUUGAUUGUUGUAAUAGCUUUUUUAUACAUAUUUCGCUAUUAGUAUGGUGUUUCAACUUUCUAUUGAAACUUCUUUUUAAAACUUAAGACUUAUUUUGUUAUUUGGCACUUAUAUUCCAAAUUGGGACGUAAGUUUAACUAUUGUUUACGGAAUUACUAAAUGAAUUUUACUGAAUCACAUAUAAAAAAAUUAGUUUGACAUACUCCAUAAAAAAAUCCUAGACAAUCCUUUUCCUUGGAGGUUGGAUCUUCUGUGAUGAAUACUACAAUUAAUCCUUUUCCUUAUUACCAUUUUGAACUGAUGGUGGCAAGAAAAACUAUCAGGAGGGGCUUGUGAAAGUGUUCCCGUCAACCUUCUAGAUGAUGAUGUUGAUGUUGCUGCUGGUGGGAGCAUUCAAGCCUUGGUGGUGGGUGUCUUCCUCGUCCUAAACAGAGCAGAAUGGAAGGUCAGGAGCUGCUAACAGUCGUCUAUUCGGUGCAUGUAUUCCGACACAAAUAGGGCUCGUGGCCUGCCUAGCAUAUCUGGCCAUAGUCAGGCUGGAGCUAGCAGGAAAUUUAGAGUUGGGUUAGGACAUAGCUUUCUGUUACUGGUCCAAUUUUAACGCGAAUGCGGAAGUGCCUUCGCGCGCGACUUCGUGUACCUUGAGCACCGAUCAGCUUUGGUACCACAGGACGCGAGCAUCCUCUCUGCCGCCGCCGCCGCCGCCAUGGCAUCCUGCCCCUGCCCCAGCCCGAGCCGCCGGACAAGCAACGGCGUCGAUCGGCGGUCUCCAGUGAAGCGGUCCCAAGUCACGAGCCUUUUCCGUUUCGGAGGCUGGGGUACGGUUUGGGCCUCCAAGCUGUGGUCACUUUCAUGGGUCAUGGUCCGUGUAACGUUUUUUUUUGAAUAAACUGGAGGGAUCAAAGAUCCCUACAGGAGCAUUUAUUAAAAGAGGUUCAAACAGUACAGAACAAAAAUCAAGAGAAAACAGACAAAAAGAACAGAGUCAAGAAACUCUUAAAGAGUAGAAUAGAAGAAAAUAAAAAAAGAAAGACACAACACUAAAGAUUCACGAUCCAUGAAUCAAAAGCCACCUUGUGUCUAGUGCUUGCUCUCAGAGACAAGAUCUGCAGCUCCUUUAAGUAGCAACUCUUAGUUCUUGUUAAGCUAGGCUGUAUUCCUUUAAAGAUGUAGUCAUUUCUUGCCCCCCAAAUUGACCAGGUCAUUAAUAUUGCUGACAGCAGGAAGAAUUCAUGAUUUGCCUGCUCUCUAAUCAGGUCCAAGACAUGGAAGAUGUCAGACUGAUUCUGAAUGUUAAAGCCAAUUGAGGCCCGACAUGAUUGAGCAAAAGGACAGGCAAAGAACAGAUGUAACAGGGUCUCUUAUGUUCUUCUUUGACAAAGUACACAGUCAUAAGAUUCUAGAAUCAUGUUCUUCCUUCUUAAUAGGUUUCUUGUACUUAGCCUAUCUUUCAGUAGUAGCCAGAAGAAAAUCUUGUGUUUUGGUUGGCAGAAAGUUUUUCAUAACCAAUGAAAGACCAGAGGUAUCUGCUCAUGUCCCUCCAGGUAAAUGUAGGCCUUUUUUGCAGUAAAUUUCCCUGAGGAGGUUGACCAAGAAUCUUGGAGAUCUGAGACAGGUAAUUGUUGCAAGAUAGCCAGUAGAAGUUGCAUCUGUUGAUAAGCUUGUUCUGACAGAGGGAGGUGAAACAGGUUCUGGAGGUUAUCAGCAUGCAUGACUCUGCAUAAAAUCAGAAAUUUGUUCUUUGCAAAGGAGAUCAGCUCUGGAUAUUGAAGUUUGAGUGCCUGCUGCCUCCAAUUAUCCAACCAAAGGUAGCAACUUUGUCCAUUUUGAAUUGUGACUUUGUUGAAUUCUUUGUAAGUGUCCAGAAGUUUAAGUAGGUCCCUCCACCAAAAAGAGCCCUUCCUUGUAUGAUUGGGCAAUUUACCAUUUGAGUAGUACUUUUCCCAAACCAGAUUAACCCAUGGGGUGUCAUUCUUGUUAAAAAACUUAUCCAGAUUUUUUAGCAACAGAGCUUGGUUCUGUCUUUCUAGAUCAAGUACCCCUAGUCCCCCUUCUCUUUUGGAUUUGCAGACCAUUCCCCAGGCUGCCUUGGGUGGUUUUUUAGAAUUUACAUCAGAACCCCUCCAUAAGCAGUGCUUUCUGUAUUUAUCAAUCUGCUUGAGAACUCCCUUUGGCAAAGUGAGUGUGCACAAAUGAAACAUUGGAAGUGCUGUGAGUAUUGAAUUCGUUAUCUCCAGCUUCCCAGCUUGACUUAAGAAAUUUGAGGUGGAGAUCAGUCUUCUUUCACAUUUUGUCACCAAAGGCAAAUAAUCUUCAAUCUUAGGCCUGGACAGUCCUAGAGGAAGGCCCAAGUAGGUGAAUGGAAAGCUGCCAGUUGCACAUCCAAAGGUAUUUGCCAGGUGAUUAAGUCUACUGCUUUCCAUAUUGAUUGGCACCAUGAAAGAUUUUGAAAAAUUUACCUUGAGUCCAGUGGAGGCAGAGAAGGUAUUUAGAAGUCCUUUCAGAAUGAAUAACUGCUUUGAAUCCCCCUCCAUGAUUAUGAGAGUAUCAUCAGCAUAUUGGAUUAUUGGGAAGUCAGGCAAGGCAUCUGAAGGAAUUGGCAGUUUUAGCAGGCCCAAAUCUUUUGCUUUAUUCAUUAUUGAUUGGAGGAGAUCAGCUGCAAGAACAAACAGAAGAGGGGACAGUGGAUCACCUUGUCUGACACCUCUUUUAUAGUGAAUUGUUUUCCCUGGGGAGCCAUUUAGCAAUACUUUUGAAGUUCCAGAUUGUAAUAGGUUUUUAAUCCAGGAGAUCCAGGUGGAACCAAAACCUUUUGCUUGGAGCAGCUUUAGGAUUGCUUGAUGCUCUAUUUUAUCAAAAGCCUUUUCAAAAUCCAACUUUAAUAUUAUUAUCUCUUUCUUUGAAGUAUGGCAGAGAUGUAAAUAUUUAAAGGACCAAGCAAGGCAAUCUUGGAUUGUUCUUUGCUUAAUGAACCCAUAUUGAUUUCUGUGAAUCAGAGGGAUGAUCAAUUUCUGCAGCCUGUUUGCCAAAACUUUUGUAAUUAGUUUUAGGGCAGUGUUGAGUAGGGAAAUAGGCCUAUAGUCAGCAGUUGUUGAGGGGUGAGACACUUUUGGGAUGAGUGUAAUAUAUGAAGAGUUAAUGCUUUGCAUGCAAACAUUAUUAUCAAAGAAUUCCCAGAAAAGGCUGUCCCUGAUAGUGGGCCAACAAUUCUUAAUGAAUUCAUUACUGAAGCCAUCAGGUCCAGGAGAUUUGUCAUUGGGUAGCAUUUUCACAGUGCUGUCGAUUUCUUGAGCAGUAAAGGGUUCCUCUAAUGAAGACAAAUCAGUGUUUCCUUGAAACAAAACAGUGAGGUCAAAGUGCAUUUCUGAAAAUUCAGAGAUACCAAUUCUCUCUCUGAAAGAGUCCCAAAGAAGACCUUCUUUUGCAGCAUGAGAGUAAAGGCAUUCACCCUGCUCAUUUUUCAGGCUUGAAAUGUAGUUGAUCCUGUGUCUCAAAGUUGCAUUGGAGUGAAAGAACUUGGUGCCUGCAUCCCAAGGGUGGCCCAUUUAAUAGCCCCCCUUUGUCUCCAAUAAACUCUUUGUUGCUCUAAGAGAAACAAUAGCUUUUCUCUUAAGAUACAUCUGAAAUUCCAUUCUUCAAGGCUAAGAUCCCUGACUUCUUCUAUAGAGUCCAUGAAUUGAAUUGUUACUGAAAUGUUUUGUAUGCAUGACUUCAAGUUUGGGACGGAAGCAUUCCAUGUUUUCAAAGCCCCCCUUAGAUUUUUGCAUUUCCUGGUUAAAGCUUUGGCUUUAUCUUGAAUGUGAUCAGAACAAGUCCAGUUUUGAGCUAAAACUUCCUGAAAACCCUGCCUUAAAAGAAAGUAAUUUUCAAACCUCCAUAGGUGAGCUUUUGGGACAACAGUUGAAAUGGAGAUGAGAAGAGGAACAUGGUCUGAUAUCUCUCUGACAAGAGAAGAGCAGGAAGUUUCAGGGAAUGUCAGGGUCUAGGCAUUGCUGGUAAAAACCCAGUCUAACUUUUCUAGCAAAGGUGAAGAUUGCAUAUUUGACCAGGUAAAUUUGUUUCCUUGCACAGGGAUUUCAGUCCAUCCCAUAUAACUGAUUGUAUUGUUGAAGAGGAACAUGUCACUCACAUUGGCCCCCUCUUUGUUUCUGUUUUCAGGGUACCUGUAUAGGUUAAAGUCCCCCAAUAUCAACCAGAGGUCCUCAUCAGAGAAGGUCAAACUUUUAAUCCAUCUAGAAAAUUCUAACUUCCCUUCAGCAGAGCAUGGGCCAUACACAUUGAGCAAGGUCCAGGAAGUAUUGUCAAUAGUUGCAGUUAGUUCAAUAGCAAUAGCAAAUCCAGUAGUGAGUUUAACCAGGCCACUAAACAAGGAUGAUUUCCAAGCCACCAGAAGGCCACCUGAGGCCCCUACCGCAGGGAUGAAUGCAAAAUCAUCAAAAGCAGGAGGGAGAAUUUUCUUUAGGAAAGCCAUGUCAAAAUGGUCCAUUUUGGUUUCUUGUAAGCAGACAAUAUCACAGUUUGAGUUAAUGACCUUAUUUUUCACUGCAUUCCAUUUUUCAUCUGGAUUGAGUCCCCUAAUGUUCCAGCACAGGAUUUUCCAUUUUCUAACAAGGUUUUGAUCCAUUAAAAAAACUUGGCAAUAAGAUCAACAUAGUUGUACUGAGCCUCAGGCUUUAGCAGCAUACAACGUUUGAUAAAGUUUUGGUCCAAAGAAGCUACAGUGGCAGAAGAAGUCUUAAACUGUAACUCCCCAGCGGUCUGUUUCCUAAACCCUUGCAAAACACAGAGCUGACUUUCGUGAAUGCCCCAAAAGAGACUGGCAAAGUUUCCAAAUCUACCAAGAACAAGGUACAACCAGACAUCAGACAUA
rnacentral:lncRNA from 1 species